rnacentral:lncRNA from 1 species
UUUUUUUUUUUUUUCUUUUCUUUUCUUCCCCUUCUCCUUCUUCUUCUUCUUUUUUUUUUUUUCUUUUCUUCCCUUUCUUCUUCUUCUUCUUUUUUUUUUCUUCUUUUCUUCCCCUUCUUCUUCUUCUUCUUCUUCUUCUUCUUCUUCUUCUUCUUCUUCUUCUUCUUGCAAAUGUUGGUUUUUUUUGUUUUUUUUUUGGUUGAGAAAAUUCAGGUUUUUUUUAAAAAAAUUAAAAAAAUAUUUUAUUUGCCACGUGACAUAUAUGUGGCAGCCGCAUCGGUAUUUAACAGAUCAGUGGAUAGAAAAUGUAACGGAUGUGUUAUUUUGAAAUAAAAUAGUACUUAAGGUAUGAAAGUGAAAUGUUUUAAAGAUGUUGUAAGGAAUUGAAAUAGAGCCCAAACCUGAGGUAAGAAAGUGUAAUUUACCUUAUUUUUAAAGAGCAAAAGGUAGAAUUCGCACAAUCUUCGAGAAAUAUCGGCUGCUGGAAGAUUUCCUAACAAAGUUUUUUGCAAUUUUUGGUAGGCGACGAAAAUCAGAAUACAACCAAUUGAAACUUGAGUUUUGAAAGUUUAUUUAUGUUAUUAAGAGGGUAAUAGCGGAUAGAAACUUUUACCAACCUCGUCUAAAUAUGCAUUUUCUCCAAAUACCUACUCAAUUACCUAUUUCCCAAACUAAUAAAAAAAGCUAAAAUACCUACAAACCAUUUAUUUUCCAAAAUAGUAAGGGUUAAGACAAAAUAAAAACAUUGGGUUUGGGGUUGUUGAUGCACAAAAUCGGAAGGGUCUUGGAACAACGUAAAUCUGACCGUGCAUCAUGCAAGAAAGUAAAGAACACAAGAUGUAUCGUGGUUCACCCCAAUGUUUGGGCUACGUCCACACUGAUGUUGAUAUUGUUUCACUAUGAAUGGUGAAUAUACAAGAAGGCUAGAGGCAGUGUGCUCUCUAGCCUAUUUUAUGUGUGAUUUCUUCCCAUGGCCUAAACCUUGACCUCCUAUAAUGAGGAGAGUGAGGAGUCAUUUUAUAGAAUAAGGGCUCCUCACUUAUUACAUAUUUGCCUUUUCAUUUAUUACAUAAUUACACUUAAGUCCCCCGAGUAUUUAUACGAGGUCUAAAUACGGAGGCCUUAAGUAUGGUACAAACAGUAGUCCCUCAAGUCUUGAGUCAAGAGAGUCUUUUGGCUGGAAACUUGAAAUUCAGUCCAUGUGUGGGCCGAAGUAACUAAAUGUCGUCUAGAACUGAUACCCGAUAUAAGGCGGUGCUUAAUGUGAAAUGAUGCUCAACUAGAAGUAGCACAUGUUGCGAGGCUGCUUGGCUUGUGGCUUAUGUUGCCUUGGUUGGCUCGGCUUGUGGUAUUAAAGGUGAGGGAGUCCCUUUUAUAGAAUAAGGGCUCACUCAUCAAUACAUAAAUGAUGGGCUACAGUUGAUGCUUGCGGCGAGGCGGUUGCUUAGCGGGCGGCGAUGCUCUCUAAUAAUGAUGAAAGAGUCCCUUUUAUAGAAUAAGGGCUCACUCCUCAAUACAUAAGUGAUGGGUUAGGAGUGAUGCUCGCGGCGAGGCGGUUGCUCAACAGGCGGCGAUGCUCUCUAAUGAUGGUGAGGGAGUCAUUUUUAUAGAAUAAGGGCUCGCUCCUUAAUACAUAAGUGAUGGGUUAGGAGUGAUGCUUGCGGCAAGGCGGUUGCUCAGCUGGCGGCGAUGCUCUUUAAUGAAGGUGAGGGAGUCCCUUUUAUAGAAUAAGGGUUCCCUCGUCAAUACAUAAAUGAUGGGCUAAAAGUCUAUCUAUAAUGAAGGUGAGGGAGUCCCUUUUAUAAAAUAAGGGUACGCUCAUCAAUACAUGAAUAAUGGGUGCUCUUUAAUGAAAGUGAGGGAGUCUCUUUUAUAGAAUAAGGGCUCGCUCCUCAGUACAUAAAUAAUGGGCUAAGUCCCCCAAGUAUUUUUCAUGAGGCCCAGUUGCGGAAGCCCAAUAUAUGUUACAUAGUGUAGUCCCCCAAGUCUUCAGUCAAUAGGGUCUGUUGGCUGGAGACUUCAAAUUCAAUCCAUGUAUGGGCCGAAGUGGCAGUUGUUCGGAGGUUGUCUUCGUAUACCAUGCACUGAAGCUUUGUAGGUGAAGCUUUGAAAUCGGAGCUUUGUAAAUGAAACUUUCGAAGCUUGAGCUUUUGUAAAUGAAGCUUUUGAAGCUAGAGCUCUGUAAAUGAAGCUUUCGAAGCUGGAGCUCUGUAAAUGAAGCUUUCGAAGCUAGAACUCUGUAAAUGAAGCUUUUGAAGCUAGAGCUCUGUAAAUGAAGCUUUCGAAGCUGGAGCUUUUGUAAAUGAAGCUUUCGAAGCUAGAGCUCUGUAAAUGAAGCUUUCGAAGCUGAAGCUCUAUAAAUGAAGCUUUCGAAGCUAGAACUCUGUAAAUGAAGCUUUCGAAGCUAGAGCUCUGUAAAUGAAGCUUUCGAAGCUGAUUGACAUGAGUGAUGCUCAUGAAUGUUUAUGUUGACUGACAUGAGUGAUGCUCAUGGAUGUUGACAUGAGUGAUGCUCAUGAAUGUUGUGAAGAGGGAUGCUCAUGAAUGUUUAUGUAUGAUUGACAUGAGUGAUGCUCAUGUAUGAUUUUUUGAAGUACUGGACAUACUUUUGAUCACCUGGUUGGUGAUAAUAGCGGCAGGCUGCCGAAUAAUUUUGGAGUACUGGACGUACUUUUGAUCACCUGGUUGGUGAUAAUAGCGGCAAGUACUUUUGAUCACCUGGUUGGUGAUAAUAGCGGCAGACUGCCAAAUAAUUUUGGAGUACAUGACGUACUUUUGAUCACCUAGUUGGUGAUAAUAGCGGCAUGCUUGAUACGAACACAUUUAUGCAACUUAGUUAGCUUGUUUCUUGGCAUUUACUUAGUUUAAUUCUAGUUAUUUUAGUACUUUAAGCUAUUUUCGUGUGUUUGUAGGUUCAAAUAACAAAGUUAGCAACAAAGUGCUAUUUGGAGCAUUUUGGAGCAUUUUUGGGCCAAGAUUGGAUAGUGCAAGCAUGGAGACAUGAGGAUGGAUGUUUUUGAAGAUUUGAAGGCUAGAAAUCAGCAUGUAUGUGUGCAAGUGUGUUGACCUACAACUACAAACAUCCAUCCACUACACCCAUUACAUCCACUCAUUACCAAACAUGCAUCCACUACACCCAUUACAUCCACUCAUUACCAAACACUCACCCACUACACCCAUUACAUCCACUCAUUACCAUAACACUCACCCACUACACCCAUUACAUCCACUCAUUACUAAACAGCCAUCCACUACACUCAUUACAUCCACUCAUUACCAAACACUCACCCACUACACCUAUUACAUCCACUCAUUACCAAACACUCACCCACUACACCCAUUACAUCCACUCAUUAACAAACAUUCACCCACUACACCCAUUACAUCCAUUCAUUACCAAACAUUCACCCACUACACCCAUUACAUCCACUCAUUACCAUAACAUACACCACUACCACCUUAAUUAGAUGGUGGUCCUCUCCCUAGCCUAUAAAUACAUCCACCCUUCACCAUAACAAGGGAGAAAAAAUCCAUCCAAAACACACACACAUCAUCUACACAAUUCUCCACUCUUUGCCGCAUUCAAUACAACCUUCAUCCAAACACAUCCAUUCAUCUUCACAUCCAUUCCUUCAUACAAACAAACCUUCAAACACUUACCAACACCUUGUGCCAUAGCAAAGGAAGGGAAGGAAAGUGCUUGGACGUGCUUGCUGUCCAACUUGGAUCGUUGGAGCGUUUAGGUGUUUUCUUUCUUUUGUUUCCAAUGUUUAAAUUCAUUUUGUUUUGUUUUGUUGUGAAUAUGAGUGGCUAAACCCCUCUUGGCUAGGGGUGAUUUCAAAGCUAUGAUUAUGUGUGCAAUAUAAUUUGAUAAAUUCCAGUUAUGAACUCUUGAAUCGUGAAUACAAUUGGCUUAACUAUUUGAUUGAUAACUUAUUUGUAUUUGUUAAUUAAGGGUCGACACUUAAUUGGCAUGCAUAAAUCUGUUGCUAGAAUAUAAGAAAGUUUCAUAUAAUCGUUACAAACUUAUAUUCAUAAGUAGUGGAGGUCGCUUAUAAACGAUCGCGUUAAGUUCAAUUCCUAGCAUAAGUGACAUGAUGUCAUAGUUGCAAGUGCUUUGUCAAUGCUUAUGAUUUUCAUUAAACGUAAUGAUCUUUGAUUGUAUCUCUAUUAUGAUGUCAUGUAGGGAACUUUUGAAGAAUGUUUUAGGUUGUCGAAUGAUGUCAUCCAAUCCAAUAAAACAAGGAAAAUCUGAGAGUUAACUAGUGAUGUCACGGUUAAUUUGGAGCAUUGUCAUUCAUAAUUCAAUGAAGUAGUAACUGGAAAUCAAGUUAUUUGCAUACAUGUCAUGUGUGGAGAAAAAACCUCUAGCUAUCCCAUCCAUCAUCUUAUUUCUCAAAUUUGUUUUACAAUCUGUCUGGUUUUUCAUACUUGUUUGUUUGUUUCAACUUCGUCCAAAACUCAAUCCCCCUUUACUUUAGUGUGUCUAAUUAGUUAGAAUCUGUUUUAAUUUGUGUUUUUAAGAGUUUUGAUUCAAGUAAUAGUCAAUUUUCGUCCAAAGUCAUUCCUAGUGUCUAGUUUAAGUUUAUUUGGUUGUUUUAAGCUGUUUUGAGUAUUGUAAGUUUGCUUUGAGUCUUGUGAGUAUUGUUAAGUGUUUUUAAGUUUAGUUUUAUGUUUUUGAGUCAGUUUAGAGGUUAUUAGCAAGCCCUCCUAAUCCCCGGUCCAGAGCGAUCCCUACUUAUACUUGUACUACAAUUGUCAAAAGAGGGUUAAAUUUGUGUGUUAAGAUAAUUUUCGCAUCAAUGCUGCCGAAUAAUUUUUUGAGUACUGGACGUACUUUUGAUUACCUGGUUGGUAAUAAUAGAGGGUGAACUUUAAGUGAAGGGAUGAAGGUUGGAGUUUGAAGCCAUAGGGCCUCGCUCUUUUGGGCAUAUGGGCCUUCGCCCUCCACAUAACAUUCCAGCCCAUUAUAUUGGGCUUGCCGUUUUUUUUUUUUUGGCAUGCUAUCUUCUUUCUUUAUUUAUGAUUACCCUCUGGUGGGGUUAUACAAAUGUCUCCAAAAGAUAAGAAAAAUAAAUCACAUCAUUAAAAAAAAAGAAACUGUUGGGACCUGGCAACACCGAGACUUCUCCCUUCACAUCAACCUCACCAGUCCAUCUGUAGAGGAAACCUUCAAGUAGAGGCAGGUUUGGACUAGUGGAUCCCUCUCUUCUGUUUUUCUUUUUCUUUUGGUAGAUGGCAGACAAAAGGAAUAAUAAUAGACUUAUUAUUGAGAAAGCUUAUCUUCUUCUUUGUUGCUUUUCCUCUUCCGCUUGUUGGUUGUAAAGGUCAGUAUAAUCCAGUUGUAAAAGGUCAAUAUUCCUUUCUCUAAAGUGAUAGCUGCUUGGACAACCUUUCCGACACCACCCAUUUGCUUUUCUCGUAGCUUUCUCAAAAAAUAGGAACAUGUAUGAUGAAAGUGUGGGCAUCUUCUUUGGUUGACAAAAGCAAAAGUAGCUUCAAGUGGUUGGACGACAGCAUGAGCUUCAUCGCAAGGUCCAUGAGCUCCAUGGAAACAAUCUGACCAACAACAACCAAGCUAUUAACUAACUCACCAGCAAAACGUACCUCUUUCUGUGUAAUAAGAGUGUAUGCAGUGUCAUCUUUAUCACCACCACGACCUGUUCUACCAAUUCGAUGGACAUGCAUGUCCAUGUCUUUUGCAAUAUCAAAGUUCACAACUGACUUAAUUGACUUAAUGUCACGACCACGGGCAGCAACAUCAGUUGCACCAAGAACAUGGUAAAUGCCAUAUUUAAAUUUUUGCAAAAUAUCCAUCUGAGAUGCCUGGUUCUUGUCACCAUGCAAAGCUGUGACUUUAAAACCUUUCUGAGUAAGUUGUGCCUCGAUCUCAUCCACUGCAGCUUUUUUCGAAACUACCCUUCCUCCAGCUGAAUAGCAGCUUGAGGCGGUUGGACUUGUGAGGGUUUAGGGUAGCUGGAAUUACCCUUACUUUCCCAAACGACCCUUCCUCCAGCUGAAUUAUUACCAGUACCGUCAUUAACUCUCGAGUCGUGCUUCUACACCGACUUCCCAUGCCUCUGCGAGGCACUGCCAGUAGGAGUAGCUUUGGAGCUUCGCGCAACCGAGCAGCUCCGGUCAGUAGGAGUCGAAUAGCUAAACGGCGAGGUCGUCGAGGCUAAUCUUCUGGAAUCCCGAGCCUCUGACCUUGUUGACGAACCUCCCUCUGUUGGGAAUCGGAUUAUCAUUGUAAUCGUCAGCCGCCGACGUCCGCUUCGGUGACGCGCGAGAGAAACAACUCAGGUUGUGAGAGCGCUGGUGAGACGACUUCCAAUUAAACAUAGCCGAGUCUUCCGACGGAGUCUUGGACGCUCCGAUCGACGUCCGCUUCGUCGUUGAUUUGAACAUCGAGGUCGCCAUUCGAGGUAACUAAGAAAGUGAUAAGAAUAGAGAGGGACGGAAGAGCACAGGUGUUGGAAUCAGAUCAGUUGUGAUUUUAUCAGCUUUGCCGAUCAACGAGACAGAGCGAAGAACUCGAUUCGGUAAUUGCAAUUUGGAUGUUGCUUUUGUCUCUGUCGUUUUCUUUUUCUUCAAAACAGAGAGAUGGACUUUUCUGGGUAUUUAGAGAGAGAAUCUUAGGAUUUUUAGAUAGAGAGUGGUGUUCUUGGUUUUUGUGAUUUUUUUGUACGAGGAUAGCAGAGUGAGAGAUAUAGUAUUUGGUUUCCUGGGUUUUUUUUUUUUUUUGUAGAUUCACGGUGGAUGAGAUGAAAAAUUGAGAAAGAAUUGACAUAGCUUUUUGUGUCGAUUCCCACAGACGGUGCCAAAUGUUUAUGCACAAAACUGGAAGGGUCUUGGAACAACGUAAAUCCGACCGUGAAUCAUGCAAGAAAGUAAGAACACAAGAUGUAUCGUGGUUCACCCCAAUGUUUGGGCUACGUCCACAUAGAUAUUGAUAUUGUUUCACUCUGAAUGAUGAAUAUACAAGAAGGCUAGAGGCAAUGUGUUAUACUAUUUUCUGUGUGCUAUCUUCCCAUGGCCUAAACCUUGACCUCCUCUAAUGAGGAGAGUGAGGAGUCCUUUUAUAGAACAAGUGCUUCUCACUUAUUACAUAUUUGCCCAUUUAUUUAUUACAUAAUUACACUUGAGUCCCUCGAGUAUUUAUACGAGGUCUAAAUACGGAGGCCUUAAGUAUGGUACAAACAAGGGUCAUGUGAACUCAAUGACCCUAGUGUGGCUCCGCUACCAGCCCCUGCAGACCCUAACUACUGUCAAUUUUAAUUUUUUUUUAAAAAAAAAAUCUUUUAAAGGUUGGUUUAUAGGUUGAUAAAUUCCAACAACUUGACAUACUGUAAUUAACUUGCAGAACAAUUAAUAUGUCUAUGUUUGUAUCCUCAAUUACUAUCAGUUUAAAACACACAAAAAUAUUCCCUUCAAAUCUAGAUCACCUCUUGCCCUAAACCCUAAAUCCUAAAUAUCACCUUCCAAAGUUUUUCUUGGAAUGAAUACCACUUUUUGAAGGAAAUUUCUUUAAUACCAUGUAGCAUUGAAAGAUAUAAAAAAAUGAAUUACCGAGAUUGAUAAUGAAAUUUGGAAAGAAAAAAAAAAAGAAAGAUUGAUUAUGAAAAAUCUACAAAUUGUAGAAACCAAAUUUAACAUCUAAGAACACUAGUAGAAUGAAACCACACCCAUUUUUAAAACUACGUCGCUUGUUUAAAAGAGAGCUGCAUCUGAAAUAUCUUAUGUCCAGGCCUGAAGUUUUCUAUUUCUCAACUUUCCAAAGCGGACUGUUGUAUGUCCUAUUCAAUUAAAGAAUGUAAAAAUGUUAAUAAAAUUGACAUAGUUUAUACUAUAGUAAACGACCAUAAUCUUGCAUUUCUUAUUCGAUUGCAUGAUGUAUUAUAUUGAUAGAUUGUCAGAUUGAAAGAAUAAUUCGUUCAAGUUUUUGUAAAACUAUAUUUCCCACCGUCCAAACAAGUUGUCCCAAUUUUGUUUUUUACUCCGCCAGUCCUUUCUGAAAUGUGGACCGCCCUUGAUAUAAAUAAUAAAAUACGCAAAAAUAUAAAAUAAAUUUAACUAAAAGAUAAACUACCACAUGACAUGAUAUUAUUUGUUUCUUUAUUAAAGGGAGACAAUUAGUGGCGAGCUAUAGUUAUUUAGCUUGUUUGGCUUUGAAAGAGGCUAUUUGGGAAUUUCACCUUAUCAGUAGCCACGGUUAAAUAGAUUCAUAGCUUACAAAGUAUCAAACCGAAGAUCUCCUGUUUUUUCUUUAGCUGCUGUUUGCACUUUUCUACUAAACCAAUUGUCUUGGUUCAUGACAUGAUAUAUUUGGGUGGAGAAUUGGGUUGAUCCUUUGGCUUGUAUGAAACAAUUUGUAUACGUACUUCCUAUGUUCCCUUCCCUCUCCCAAUAUUAUAUUUUUAGAGUUGUCAGACGAUUAUAUUUUUUAGUUGGCUAAAUAACAAUUGAUUAUAAGAAUAAUUAGAGAAAGACUUUUGUCAGCCAUUGACGGAAGUAGGUCUCUCAGCCCAUCAACGUAUAAAUUUUGAAUGGUUUCACCUACUCAAAACUCACAUAAGGUGCAUCCUACUACCAAAAUUCUGGUUUUUGUCACAUAUUCGUUCUUCCACGCAAAAAGAAUAAAGAAGUUUGUAUAUGAAAAAGUAUGCUGAUGACUUCGUAUUGUUUCAAAUCCCUAUUCUUAUCAAACACAAGAAAAACAAAAAUUUUCCUACUUGAGCAAAAAAUCUUGGUAGUUUUGCCGUCCACUUUGCGUCGGUGGGCAGUAGUCGCUUGCACAACUCAAAUAGUUAAUGUGAACAUUUAAACUUCCAAAUGUGAUAAACCAAUUUGGUCUAAAAUAUCAUCUACAAAUGUGUGUUAGGUCAAUUAGUCAAUAUAGUAUAUUUUCACUUUGCACCAAAGUCAGAUCACUCCACAUAGAACUAGUUUAGUUUAUAAUUGACAUAACAUGACAUGCACACAUCACUUAUCACAGUAUGCAUAAAAAUAGUACAAAAAUGGGAUCUCCCUGACAUUUUCCUUGCUUGUAUAAAGAAAAAAUGAUCAUCUUGAGAGAAAAAAAAAAUCACAUUUAAUGGCAAAGAUGGUGUGCGUCUUUUUUCUUUUAAAUCAUUUUCAAUUGUCCUCAACUUCCCAAAUACUACCAAAUUCCAUGAAUUUGGAAAGUCAUCAACUACUUCCCUUCAUCUCUAAUGAGGAUUUGGAUCCCAUCCGGAUCCAAAUUAUGGGAAUCUUAAAAAUCUUCACAUCUUAACUGUUCAUCAUAUAUCGUGCUGUUAGAAAUUAUUUUAAAUUUUUUAUUUAAAAUUAAAUACAAAUAGUACCUGAUAAAAACUAACCACAUAAUGUUUGAUAAACGAUUAAAAUAUGAAUAUCUCUCGAAUUCUCACAAAGAGGAUCCAGAGAGAAUCCUCGUUGCUCCACUGAGACGUUGGAAAAAGUUGCCACCAGAUAAAACUGAGCCGAAAGCAAAAAUACGUUGAGGCUUUUAACGAGGCUUCUUUUGACUUUUUCUUAUUUCAUUCAAGUAUUUGGGUCACUCAGAGAAUAGUGAGACUGUAAAGUGAUACACAAAUACAGCCCAAUGUGGCUUGGCUUCCAUUAAAAAACUAAAAUGAAGGACAAAAAGAUGGUGUUCAAAUAGAAUAUUGUUAUAUAAAAUUCAAUGAGGAUAAAGGCAAUGCCAUGAGCACUUGCACAUCAACCUUGUAAAAUAAUUCAAUAGGAAUACUAAACAAAUCAGGCAGAUGGAAGACGUUAUUGGAAGUAUGCAUUGGUUGCACGAGAGAAUUUCUCGUGUGUUAAGCCAGUUGGCUAGACACCCAAAUUCAAUGCAUUUUACCCGUAAAACGUAACUACAUAGAACGUAAUGCCAAACGAAGUAUCAAUGAUUAAUAAAUGUAUAGAAACAUGAAGCAAUAACGGCAAUUGACAUCAUAACAUUGAACAAUCUAUUUACAGUGCUAGUCAAGACCCGAAAAUUUGUAUUAAAACUCCUAAAUAACGAAAAAAAGUUCCGGUAAGUCAUCCUGAAAGUUGGGUACUAAAUAGAUCUAAAUACUUCCACAUGAACAAAUCAGAUCACUACACAAAGAGAACAGAGAUUCUUUGAUACAGUUUCGACAUUCAAAUUUACCAGCAAGGUGCCCAGUAAUUUCUAACCGGUUUAGCUGGGGGUGAGAUGUUGCUUUUGAGGCUGGUUCACAAAUCCUGCAUCUUCAAGAACGCGAAAUACAGUAACUUUCAGCACAAUGUCCUUCAUCUUGAGAAAUUCAAAGACACAAACAUCCCCCUCUCCCAGAUUGUUAUCCAUCGUAAACUCAUACCAUCCCUGGCUUAAUUUUGCUCUACCUCCUCUAUAAAGGCAUCGGACUGACCAUUGUCUACCAUCAGCGGACUGAAGUUUGAUGAAUCCUGAAACCCCAUUUAAAUUCUUUUCGGCAAAGCAGGAUGGCAAAUACUGCAUGAGCAAAAAGUAACAUUAAGCCAAGAUGUAACAAUCUGAAAUCAACAAGCAGAAGCAGUGUAUCACAUCAUUAUUGAAGACUCACCAUUAUACAACCUCUAUAUAGGUAGGAUGGUCGAAGGACGACCCUGCAGAAAGGAUUAUCUGGCUCAAAUGUUUUGGCUGCAUUGAUAGCCCUUUCUCUUUCUUCAGCUGUCACGGUUCUCUUCCUUGCAGAUGCACUUUCAUAGAACCGAAAGCGGAUUUCCACUUCUUUUUCUUGUUGAGAAGAAGACUCCUGCACAUCUGCACUCUUAUAGAAUUAAUAAUGAGGUUUGCAAUUCCCAUUAACGAUAUGACAAACAGUAUGAGUUCAGAGAUCUUACCAGGAUUAACCUUCCGCUUUUUUCUCAUAGUCUUCUUUAUGCUUUGUGUAUCUUCACCUGGACUACGCAAUUUGACUUCAUCCACUGUCUUUUUAAGCUCUGUUACAUUAAAUUGAAGACCAUUAUCUCGAGUAGAUUCAUUACCUGCUUGUAGAUCAUCACCCUUCGACAGAUGCAGGUUCCCAGCAUCACUCCUGCUCAUGCAAUUCUUCGGUUUGGAACCAUUAAACAAAUUCUGCAGCAAUGGAGUACAAUUUUUCCCAGGAAUCAGUUUAUUUGCAGAGUCACCAAAGCGCUUGUCUCUCAAAGAAUCGGUAACAAUGGAUGUAGGGGAGGAACCCAAGAUUUCAACAGAGUCAUCAUCUUCCAUUUCUUCAAAAACUUGAUACCGGUAAAUAGAACCUCCAGUACUACUGAGAGCAUUAGGUUGAUAGUUAAUCUCAGCAGUUUUCAAAUUAAAUAUAUGGACGGUGAAAGACGAAUGCCCUUCAUAUCUGAAUGUUAAAAAGUAGCCAACACGGAUUGAAUAAUGUUCAAUGAACUCUAGCCAACCACCGUGAAACCAAAACUUGUUAUCAACCUUCUUUAUUCCCACAUGCCAAACACGACCAUCAGGAACAGUGAGCUUAGCAAUGGUAGAAAGAUCGUUUCUGAAUUUCUGGACAAAACUUUCCGGGAUCCUCUACAAUUACAAAAUCAAGCAAGGGUUUUAGCUAGAAUAAAACACCCACCAUGCAAAGUUUCAGGUCCAUGAAAGUGAUUCUUAAACCAAUCAGAUAUAUGAACAAAACUUACUUAAUUUGUAUGAAACAAAUCUCAUGUUGUUUCAGAGGCCUCCCAAAGGAAUGAAGCAAGUAAACCACAUAUUUUUUCGGAGACAAAAGCGACCAGAAAAUAAAAGCAGAGGCGACUAUUAAGAAGCAGAUCACUUUUUGAUAUGAGCCUAAACAAUCAGACUGGAGAGACUAGAAAUGGAGAAAGAUCAAAGCUAUUACCACCAUUCGGGAAAUGAAUUAUAAAUGUAAAAUCCGAUUACAACAUCUUUAUUUGCUGAGAAUUCAUAAAUUUAAAGUUGCUAAUGCACCGUUGCAACUUUUACCGAUAGUAGAGCACUACAACUCUAUUUUUGUUUCUUCAACGAACAGCAGAGAUUAAAAAAAAUAGCGGAAAUCUCAAGCGAUUUUUGGUCCUACCUAAAGUAUAGUCCAAAUAACUUUUAUCUAGUUAAACAAUUAUACGUGCAACGGUGCAAGACUCCCUCUACCUCGACGAAAAUUCCUACCAGGAAUACACAAUCUAUUAUAUAUCAUCCAUUGGUGCCAGAAGAUUUUCAAACUUUGAAUAACAUUCCAUCUCCCUAAACGGAGCCAAACCGAUAUCAAAUCUCAUGUUUUCAUUCCAGUAAGACAUAAAGUUAGCAGCCAUACUGUGCUGGCUUUUGAUUAUCUUCCUAACAUUAGGAAUCUCAUGAACGAAAUUUAAAAAUUAAAAAAUAAAAAUAAAAAUCAUAGAAGUCAAAUUUCGUUUUGAAAAAUCGAAUUAACCAUUGACAAUGUAACCAAACAAGUCUAUCGGAUUUCUAUUAGAACACCCUUUGACGAAAAAUUGAAGAAAAUAUCUUAACAACCUGGAAUUACCAUACAACCAAACCAAAGUUUCAACCUUUAUGUUUUUACCCACCCACCAAAAAAACACACACACAAGACUGGGAAUUUGAAGGGUUUUUUCCUGUCUUAAAUGGGUCUGCAAAAUCCUCCAGAAACAGAAGAAAAAUACACAAUUUUGCAUCUGGAUUCCACACCCCCAGUUUUCUCAGUACACCAAACAAAGCAAGAUUAAAAUAAUCCAAACAUUAAUCACUAAUCAGCAGUUCAGCACAGAAUUAAGAACAAAAACCCACAAUUAAAAAGCUAAAUAUAAAGAGAGUAAGAGAUUGUACCAGCUGCUUGGCUUGGAGAGUAGAGGACACAAUCAGCUUGUGAAAAUAAGGGGUCAUCAUUUUCAUUUUUAUUUAUUUAAUUUUUUUUUUUUUGGGGGUGGUUUUGUAGGUUUUGGUCAGGAGAAAAGCAUUGAAAUUGUGUAGAUUUUGCAGGGUGAGAGCGACUGACUGAGGAGCGAGGGAAGGCUGUUGUGUGAAUCUGUGUCCUUUGUUUUCAGAUCUGAGUUUUAACCCCUCCACAGAACCUACAGGCCUACACAAAAACACUUCUCCAAAAACAGGUCUUGCGAGUCAAACUCUCGUUUACCAACAAAAAAACACAAAAAUAAAAACAAAUAUACGUAUCUAAUCUACUCUGCUCUGCUACUUGACCAAAAAGUUGAACGAGUCCAAGCUGGGUCCAUGUCCUUCGCCUGCCUCAAUCCAUUUGUGUACGGGUCGGGUUCCUCACAGCAAAUUGAGUCUAACCCAACUCAUAAACUCGUUUCGACAAAAAAAAAAAAUAUCAUUAACUCGUCAACUUUCUUUUUCUUUUUUUUUUGGUAAACUUCCUUGUUUCCUCUUUUGUGAAUGCAAUGCUCCAGCUAAUUAGUACACAAUCACAUUCCCAAAUAAAUUCACAUUUUACGAUGUUGUAAAUGAGAUUGGUCACACGAUCCAAUACCUUGUUAAGCUUCUGGCAAAUAGACAUUGUGGGACCAUGAUUUUUCAAGGCCAGGGUAAGCGAAUCAGAAUACAACUUAGAAGUUCGGUUAUGAUUCGUCAGUUUCGAGUGGAGCUUGUGGAGUCAAAAAUAUUCAUAAGGCGACACGUGGGUUUUUUGGACAAAAAUGACAAAAAUACCCUCGAGGCAUACCGGGUCUCCUACACGCGAGCAGUGGAGAAUCAUCCAUCAACCAAGUCAGAAGUACCCAAAAUGGGUAACAAUUCAAAACCUAUUUCAUAUAUGUUUUUACCUCAUUUUUUCCUUAUUCAAUUAGCCAUUUAUUUCAAACAUUCCAUAACAUCCUCAACCAAUUAAUAUAAUCAAUAUAUUAAAGGCUAUUUACAUCACCAAAUCACCCCAAAAUCACACCAAGGUCCGGCCAUUCCCAUCCAAAAAGAGCCUAUCAUAUUCUCUACCUUUUCCACCAUUUUCCCUUUUUAAUUACCCUAAUUAACUAGCCAAUUAAUUCCAAAACCACCAAAACAUUCAUUUUAUGUUUAAAUAGCCAAAUAAAUUGGCUAAUUAAACCUAAAUUAAACCUAAAAACCCUAGCCACCUCCUAACUCUAUAAAUAGACACCUAUUUGGCUACUUCGGUAGCCACUCGUGGCGAGGUCCAUGGAGCCUUCACCACGGCCCGGAGAUCCGUGAGGCAAAAUGCGACAAUAAGGGGAGCGGCAUCACCACCACGAGUUUCCACCAUGGGAACCACCGCGGUGGCUACCUCGGUAGCCACCCACGGCGAGGUCCAUGGUGCCUUCACCACGGCCACCAUGGGAACCACUGCGGUGGCUACUUCGGUAGCCACUCGUGGCGAGGUCCAUGGAGCCUUUACCACGGCCCGAGCCGUGCCAUCCAAGGCUCACGGUACCAAGACCACAAUCCAAGCCAUGCCAUCCAAGUUUACGUGGACCCAAGCCCAAGCCUCGCAUUCACAUGCACCGCGCAUUGAGCAGCCUGCUUUCGUUGAGCAGCCCAAUCCCGUGGCCCAGCCUGCUUUCGUGACCCAACCUGCUCCCGACGAGCAGCCCACUCCCGUGGUCCAGCCUGCUCCCGACAAGCAGCCCACUCUCGUGGUCCAGCCUGCUUCCGUCGAGCAGCCCAAUCCCGUGGCCCAGCCUGCUCCCGCCAAGCAACUUGCUCUCGCGGCCCAGCCUGCUCCCGCCAAGCAACUUGCUCUCGUAGCCCAGCCUGCUCCUGCCAAGCAGCUUGCUCUCGUGACCUAGCCUGCUCCCGACGAGCAGCCCACUCCCAUGGCCCAGCCUGCUCUUGCCAAGCAGCCUGUUCUCGUGACCCAACCUGCUCCCGACGAGCAGCCCACUCUCGUGGUCCAGCCUGCUUCCGUCAAGCAGCCGACUCCCAUGGCCCAACCUGCUUCCGUCGAGCAGCCCAUUCCCGUGGCCCAGCCUGCUCCUGCCAAGCAGCCUGCUUUCAUGACCCAGCCUGCUCCUGACGAGCAACCCACUCUCACUGCCUAUCCUGCUCUAGUGGCUUUCCAAGCAGCCCAAGUCGGCCCAAGACUAUCUCAACCAUCCGGACCUACCAUCGAACCGGGGGCAUUCUCACCACAUUUUUUCGCGGGUUUGACAUUUCCCAACUCAAAUCUCGCGCCCGAAGUCUACCACCCUUUCACUGCCCAAGGAGGCGCAUUCCUUCCAAGCUCUUCCAAUCCAAAUGGCGAACAACACUUGUCUCGACAAGUCAUAGAGUUGACGAGCGCCCUUGCACAACAGACAACCUUGGUGAAUCAACUUUUGCAACACAUUGGGAUCCAACGUGCCCCGGACGAGGUAUCCCGAAGUAGGACAAUGGCAGACGGACAUUUCCAGCAGCAUCCCGGCAAGCAGCCACGAGCCGAACGUUUGGGCAGUGUACAUUCCCGUCUUAGAGCGCGAAGGAGCAUGCACUCUCGACUAGGCCCACGGAGGAGCAUACAUUCACGAUUGGGGUUAUACUCCGAUAGUCAACAUGAACAACCUUUCGGGCAAAAUGUCUAUUCGCAGCUAAGCCCACAAGAAGCGUCAUCCACCUCACAUCAGAGUAGGCAGCACGACGGACGGAGAGAAGCAGUCACUCAAUCCAGCUCAAGUUCAACCAGCAGCAUGCGAAGAACUCGCUCACCUACUAGGAACGCAUCAUAUGCACUGCAUCCGCGGCAUAGACGAGCCAAACACAUGGAAGAGCAGCCUAGACCAGCAAGUCAUGACUGGGGGCAGCCGAGAGCUCCACUACCCCAACAAAGGCAAAUUCAGGAAGAAGUAUAGAGACUCUUGACCAAGCGAUUACAUGAUUUCCAACGCAACGAGGUCACCGACGAGGCACUACGACGAAACAUAACCAACAUAAGCAGGUCACCCUUCACGGAGGAGAUUGAGCAGGCAGAGCCUCCACGCGAGUUCAACAUGCCACAUUUCACAUCUUUCAAAUGGGAUGAAGACCCGGAGAGACACUUAAAACGUUACCAAAGUGCAAUGAUCCUUUAUCGAAACAACGAUGAUCUCAUGUGCAAGAUAUUCGCCACCACUCUACAAGGCGAGGCGUAAGAUUGGUUCUACACCCUGCCGCCACAAUCCAUCCGGAAUUUCUACGAACUUUCUUUGGUUUUCACCAAAGAAUAUUCAUCCUAUCGCUCGAUCAAAAAGAAGUCUGACCAUUUGUUCGACGUCAAGAAGAACCCAAAGGAGUCGCUUCGCGACUAUGUGAAGAGGUUCAAAGUAGAGAAGGCAAAAAUAGUCGGAUGCAACGACUUGAUAGCUAGAGCAGCCUUCCAAAAAGGACUUCCAGCAGACCAUCCGCUAUUCGGAAAAUUGAUCAUGAAAGAAGAUCUAACUCUGGCAGACUCUUUUGCUUUAGCAGAGAAGCAUGCACUUUGGGAUGAGGCUCGCCAAUGCACAUUCAAGGACUUGAAGAAGUACCUGACAUCAUCUCCCUAGAAGCAGCGGAUGGCUUAUUCGCAUGUUUGACGGUAUCUAAAAUAGCAAUAAGCUCUACCAUCAUGCGAGAAGAGCUGGGGGCCCGACUACCUGUAUUCUACAGUUUACCUGCAAUCAUCAUCAUGACGCACUAUUCCGUCGAAUCCAAACCGGCGACGAUAAAGGCGUAAACCCUGGCAGAUGCAAAGUUUUCUGAUGAACGCAACAACUAGGCCCAACGAUGCCCCGAAGGCAGUCGAGCACACUUUAGCUGCACAUAUUCCCUUAAUGGAGAUUUCUGGCAUUCGCAUGUCAACGACGCAUCCAACUACAAAGGCUUGCGAGCAGCCGUGGUUCGUGGCAACCGACUACUUCACCAAAUAGGUGGAAGCAGAGCCCAUGGCGACCACGAUUCAGACGGACAUAGAGCGCUUCAUAUGGAGGAACAUCAUUUACCGAUUUGGCAUCCCUUAAUCCAUCGUCACCAACAACGGCCUGCAAUUCGUGGGCAAAGAUUUGGCGAAGUUCUUCAAAAAAUAUGGCAUCAAGCAGCAUAUGUCCAUGCCGAGAUAUCCUCAAGGCAAUAGACAGGCCGAAUCAUCCAAAAAGAUGGAUCUCAUCUGGGAAGGUCCGUACAAGCUCAGCAGAAUAGGCGGUAAGAGUAAUUAUACCCCCGCUACCAUGAAACGAUAAAAAGAUCGAAAAGUAGUGGAGCGCCUACAAUAUGAAGAAGUACCAUGUGUGACCUCCGACUACAUCAAAGCCCGAAGACUUAAGAAGCUCGACGGGCACCACCUCACAAGUCGAGGAUUAUCUAGUUGUUAUGCAGUUCCUACCUUACAGCUAAGUUCUUGUUUGUUUCACUCGUUUUUCAAUGAGGAAUUCAGAAGUAAUCACAACUUGGCUCGGCUGCAUGCUUACAACAAGUGAUCACUCCAGCACUUCAAAAGAAGACUGUGCCCUUCUUAGGGACCCAUCGCAGGAAUUGCGCCCCCCGAUGGACCAACCAUGCUCUCCAGUGCGAGAGGGUAAACUAAUUGCUCUCCAGUGCGAGAGGGUAAACCAAUUCCCCGACACCCAUAUGGGUCAGCUCUCCAAGACGGGAGGAUAAACUUUACACUCCGAAUAUCUAGACGUGGAUGAGCCUGGCUGCCCUAGUAUAACUAGAUACACGAUAGCUUGCGCCGGGAUUCCUAGAAGUAGCCGCAAUGGUCUUUUUCAAGGCUUAGCUAACUGAAGGAUUUUGGGUCUCUUGGCCUAAUCCGUGGGGAACCGGGCCCUAGAGACGGAGAGGGCACAUUACGCAGUACAUCCGAUGGACGGCUGCCCUGGAAUCCUAAAGCUGCUACCGAGUGCACUAAGGUAGCCUACGAAUUCCGGAAGACUGCUUACGGUUUGCCCUUCGAGCAGUAAAGCCGCGCUAGACUUACACAGCCGCACAUUCUUGUGAAAGGUUAAACAAGCUAGCGCCCAUAUACGAAGUUUUAUCCACUGACGACAUGCUACGUAGUCGAUAAGCUUCACCUCUGCCAAGCGCGGAACAACCUACACCAAGUCUUAAAGUGUUGUGAUACUUGCUACGCAACCUACGGAAUUGAAGAAAGUCAAGGUUAACAGCCUAGUGGUUACACGGACUUGUCUUCUUCUGUAAGUAAGGCAUCCGGCUGCCAACCCUAUGGCUAACAACUUUGCAAAGUUCUACACCAACACCUACAGCUGCAUAGGCUACGCGAGCUUGUCUGCUUAUAAAAAAGUAGCAUGCCUGCCACUGGUCUAUCAAGUCUAAAGGUUAGGGCAUGAACAAAAGAAGUGAAGAUGAAGAAAAACGGAGGAAAACAUGUUUAUAAACAACUAGCAAAGGCCGAAGGAGUUCAAGCAAAACAAGAGCUACAAGGAAAAACAAAAGAAAAUCCUAAAGGCUACCUAAAAUACUACACUACAGCAGCUUGGACAUCCCACGACUACUCGGUCGCCACACCUUCAACUGCCGUAACACUCUUAGCAACGGCAUCAUCCGGCGCUUCACCCCCGACUGCCCCAGUCUGGGCACUAACUUCUCCAACUACUUCACCAAUGGAAGCCUUAAAAGUAAAAGCAAGCAAGUCUUUCGAGAAAAUAGAGAAGGUCUUAAAACCUCAAGCCCAUCAUUCUCACCCUUCAGCUGCUCAUUCUUCUUAAGCAGACUAACACAGACGCGCUGCAGCUCAUCCACUCCCUUCUUAGCAUAAGCAGCGAAACGAAGCUCAGAAAUUGCAAGCUUACGAUCUUGAAUCUGAGGCGAAUCAAUCUCAGCAGCAAAGGGAGCAGGCUUUGGCGCCACUUUAGCAGCAGAGUCCACCUUACCACUCUUCAUAAUAGCAAGUCUCUACAAAGGUGAACCGGACUUGGCUCCUAAAGAACGUCCUGGUACAGACUUCGGCACUGGGGGCAUGAUAAAACCUUUACGCUGAGCAAUCUUAUCCACAAUUGUACUAGCCAUUCUCAACAUGGAAGUGAAGGAAUUAUUUUGAAAAACAUGUUCAUUUGAGCAACAUCAUAUAGCAUGCAAUUAACAAUUAAAGGCGGAAUCAUGCUUGUAUGCACUCAAAAACAAAACAUGACCAUGAAAUUCAAAGCCUAGUAGAUUGGUGAACCAAUUAAUCAACUCAAAACAAAGUGAGUUGAAAUUAAUACCUUUGUAGAUUCCUCUUUGCAUAAGCAAAGGCUAAUCACCCAAAGAGAUAGGGUCUUCAUUCCUUGCUUCUUAGAUCCAUGGAUUUGGAUGGAAGAAUAGGUUCUCUAAGUUCCCAAAAUUGAGAACCUCUAAGUCUCUUCACCAAGGUUAGAUUGUAGAAGAAAUGAGUGACCUUGGAGUAGUAGGAUUGCUAGAUGUACCCUCCAAGGUGUUGGCCUCUUUAGAGAGAAAAUGGAGAGACAAUUCUCACCAAUUUUCCCCCAAAAUAAACCCUUAAUCACUUAAUGAAUAUUUGGCUAUAAAAUCAUUUAUAUAGUCACUUCUUUAAGUGACCUAAACAACCAAAACCCUAAUUCAUUUCAUCAUGGCCGGCCAUUUAGGGGAUUUUGGGCUUUUGGGCUUUAAUGAAUCUUCAUUCAUUAAAUUGUCAUACAACUUAAGUUAAUGGGCUUGACGUUCGAAGCCCAUUGGGCCUUAAGGUCCAAAACUAUCCCGAAGUCUUUAACGAACUUAUUCGUUUGAUUAAUUAACAUAUUAAUUAAUCCUUGCCAUAAAUAAAUGAUUAAACCUAUUUAAUCAUUCUUACUCAUUUCCGUUUAAUCUUCAAUCUCCACCUUUUAUGGUGUGCGAUCCAUUAGGUUCCUUUUAGCGAGGUAGUGGGCGAUUAAAACCAUUUUACAUCGAUUGUGAAUUGAAACUAUUUUCAAUUCUCCCUUUAGUGAUUACACACGUUUAGGGCUUCCACAAACCAUGAGUGACACCUAGCAGCAUAUCAUGGUUACCCAAGCUAAUCAGAAGAGGAUAGAGAACCUAUUCAGUUUGGGAUUACAAAAUGCAAUACGGUCCUUUCUCUAAUCUAAUACUCUUGACCACAUUGUUUGGUAUGAUAGUUUAUUUAUUCAUGUCUACUAUCCAAUGUGAUUCGUGUGCUUAUAUGAUUUCCUUGAAUGUGAUUUGGAACGCAUUCCCUAAUCUCAUUCAUACUCUGGCCAGAGAUUCCAAAUCAUAUCAUAGAGUAUUCUCCCUCAAACUGUUUGAAGGUUAGAGAUCCCUUGUUGCGCAUUCACUUGUCUCCAUAGCUAAGUGGCUUAACCCCAACGAUGCCGUGGACACCCCGAGGGGUGACUUUGACAUAAUCAAAGAUCAAGGACUUAACCACAAGACAACUGUGAUGCCUCAGGUCAAAGGACUACUUUGCAUUAUCCCAACCAUGAGUUCUUCAUGUGACAUGGAAUAUGAGAACUCUUCGUUGAUCACGUUCAGUGUACUCAUUCUCUAUUGAGCACCUACGCACUUGUCUUGAUGUCACACACACCAAUGACUCGAGACUAAUCACUCUCCCUGAGAGAAGACAUAGUACGUACCGAUCUUUACGGACUGUCAAUGCCCAAUUGACAAUCCUAUGAUCAGGAACAUUUAGGAUGUGUCUACGAAAGAAUGGUCUCAUGAAUCUAACUUCAUUAGAUUACAUUCUCCCAAUCACAUAUUCCUUGGACUUUAUCGUUUAAGCAUAUAACAUUUAUAUGAGACGGCUCAAACAAUAAUCUUUGCCCUUUAUAUGUAAAACUAGAUUAGUUUAACAUGUGAAAUGUCCGUAAAGUAUCAUCAUAUGAUUGGCUUUAGGGCACAUUUCCAACAGGAAGACGCCACAUGCUCAGAUCUAGCAGCCUUAUUUUUCUUCCCAUUAGAAGAAGUCAUGUCAAUCACAUACCUCUCGGUAGCAAGGGGACCCUCAUGAGCAGCAGAAGAAGUCUUCAGUUUUUUCUUAACUAGGCAUCUCAUGAGCAGGCGGGGAAGAUCUCUUCUUUCCAUCUUCAUUCAUAGUAAGCUCCACGAUAGCGAUCAGACGAGCCAAUACAUCCGCCUUGAUCCUCUUUACCUCAUCUUUCUGGAGCAGCCCACCUUUCUUUCAGCAAAGAAGACUAAGCAGCCAACGACAUUCAUGGUACUCAGCAGGGGAGCUCAACCCAGCAUUCCAGCAGGCAGAAGGCAUGCAUGCCCAACAUUCCAGCAGCCCAUGAGACCCGCAAUCUCCUUAUUUCUCUCAAUCGCCAGCCUGGCCCGAGUCAGGUCCAAGAGCCCAAAGGACAUGAGCCAUGCGGCUCGCCUAACACUGUGCCCUAGCGCCACAAUCCUCGACCCCAGCUGCACAAGCUGCCCUUGGCUCAAGCCAAGCCAAGCUGCCCAAGCAGUGGUCCCUACCACGACAUCUCCUUAGUUCAUGCCGAGCCAGCUCCUAGCCCCUGCCAGCCGACGUGCCGCACCACCCCGACGGCUACCUCGCAAUAGCACUAUCCAAGAAUAAGGCAAGAAAAAUUAAAUUUUUCUUACAUUGGUGCGGCACGAAGAAGACGAAGAAAGCAACGAAAGACGGUCCUUUGCACGGGCAAGAUGUAUAAGAUUGCUAGAGGAGGGGGAACAAAUAUCCUCUAAGCUAUCUCUCUCUUGUAGGGUAGAAUAAAUCGCUCUCCAAAGUUGAUUUAAUAACCCACUUAAGGUGGACUUAAAUAGGCUUUGAGAGAAAUUUAUUUCCCUUUCCUAGAAGGAUCUAAUUUCCUAUUAAAGAGAGAAUCUACAUCAAAAUAGGAAGCAGUCCUAAGUUUCCUAAAGCAAGAAAAUCUCUACACCUGGCGCCCUUUUCUGCGAGCAGCCCAACAGGUGUGGGGGCAUUUGUGGAGCCAAAAAUAUUCACAAGGCGACACGUGGGUUUUUUGGACAAAAAGGACAAAAAUACCCUCGAGGCAUACCGGGUCUCCUACACGCGAGCAGUGGAGAAUCAUCCAUCAACCAAGUCAGAAGUACCCAAAAUGGGUAACAAUUCAAAACCUAUUUCAUAUAUGUUUUUACCUCAUUUUUUCCUUAUUCAAUUAGCCAUUUAUUUCAAACAUUCCAUAACAUCCUCAACCAAUUAAUAUAAUCAAUAUAUUAAAGGCUAUUUACAUCACCAAAUCACCCCAAAAUCACACCAAGGUCCGGCCAUUCCCAUCCAAAAAGAGCCUAUCAUAUUCUCUACCUUUUCCACCAUUUUCCCUUUUUAAUUACCCUAAUUAACUAGCCAAUUAAUUCCAAAAACCACCAAAACAUUCAUUUUAUGUUUAAAUAGCCAAAUAAAUUGGCUAAUUAAACCUAAAUUAAACCUAAAAACCCUAGCCACCUCCUAACUCUAUAAAUAGACACCUAUUCUCAUCAAAAAAUCAAUUCCAACACUUUGGCAAAAAUCCCAAAAUUCUCUAAACACUCUUUCUCUCUAAAUUCUAACUUUGGCAUCGGAGGUUCUUCGGCCAAAGCCCCCCCCCCCAUUCAUCGUGGGCGCAUGAGGCUCUUGGCCUUAACCUAAGGUGUUAAUUGUUUUGUAGGUGCAAAAUCGUCCAAGAUCGAGGAGGAAGAAAUUUGCAUCCACAGAGCUGGAUCAAACGGAGUAAUGGUGCCACCAUCAUUCUGUUACGUGGCAAUAGGCAAAGUCAGAACGACUUCGUCAAGAAUGACCAUACUUGUUCCGCAAGAUAAAAUGAUAUGAUCCAACAUGGAGUUAGCUAGAUCCUCUACAUAUCUUAGGGUUCCUACAAUCUAGAAAUUAGCAUGCGCUGCAAGUAAUCACACUCCAAAGAAGACGUGACAUCUACUUCUAGAUAUCCCUUAGGAUUGUCCAGACUUAGUACGAGGGUUCUACCCUAAAAAAGUUUGUCCCUCUCCCGGUUGGUAUAAAUACACAUUUCAAGGGUUCAUCUCUAGUAACGCAACCCUCACCCACUAAUUCUCUUGCCUACUACUUGAGUCUUAUAUUUGCAUACUAACUUGACUAUCGGAGAGCCUUUGGCCGUCACACACCCCAUCCCGGUCUUAGGCUUGUUCACAAUUGUUUUCUAUUUUACAGGUUACCCGGAUUUAUGACUCCACCACUCACGGAGGUGCACGAAUUUGAUUCCAAUAGACAUCGACAUCGACUUCGUGCAUAGAUCGACGAGGAUGUCUUGGGAUCGAAUCAGCUUGACUUCAAUCGUCUAAUGUUUUGUUGAUGAGUUAAGAAAAAAUCGGGGGCACAAUAUUCUUGGUGGUAACUUCUUGGAUCGUUUGAUCUAUUAAAGUCGCAUAGUGCUUCGAAUUGCCCAACGAGAGCUCCCACGCAUGUCUACUAACGUGUGGCAUAGCGAGUUGAUGUGAGCUUGACAAGAUUUGAAAAUGUCGCAACUAAGGUCAAUUAUGUGGACCUACAAUAGAUUGCGAUACUUCCUAAUAGUAAAGACAUAACCAUUUGGGAGCACCUUGUGCAAGUUUGAUAUGUAACCAGCGUCAUCAAUACUAAUGAGGCAAACAUAAUUUCGAGGAUCAAGGGUUUUGAUCUAGGGCUGGGCUGGGCCCAAUUUUGAAAGGACCAGACUAAACUCGGGUUUAAAAGAAACGAGCCGGUUUGGGGCGUACAAUAAAUUCUAAUACAUGAACCGAACCUAACCCGACCUGUUUGAAAUAUGCUGGUUCGGGCCGGGUCCAAGGGUAAUUUUUUUUGUUUUUAUUCUCUUCUUCUUUAGCUCUCUUGAAUCUCGAUCGUUCGAGGAGAUGUCGGAUCAUGGCAACAAGAAUGCAAGCCUUCUAAUUCUCUUAUUCUUCUUCAAGUAUCUCGUUCCCAUUUAACCCUUUCAAUCCCUACACAAAGAUUAGGAAUUCUUCCCCAAUCUCAAACCUUCAAUCCAACCUUUUGACGUUCCAAUAUAGCAACACUGCAAUAACACCUAUAUUUACUAUUUGUACCAUACUUGACCAAUCCCGAAACAACUGAGCACCGGUCAACGUUAUACCGUCAAGGACCCAGAAGAGCUUCCCUUCAACCAGGAGGCUAAUCAUAAUGCGACACGUGUCGACAUCAGAAGCCAAUCACAGCGCGACACGUGUCAACAUCAGAAGCCAAUCACAACACGACACGUGUCAAUGUUAGAACAAAACUAGAAACUCUCUUCUAUAAAUAGGGAUCAUUCUCCCACAAUAAUCUCUAAUGUCAUUUUGUACUAAACUAUUCACUAGAACUCACAAAAUGAGAGCUUGAACCUAUGUAUUUGUGUAAACCCUUCACAAUUAAUGAGAACUCCCCUACUCCGUGGACGUAGCCAAUCUGGGUGAACCACGUAUAUCUUGUGUUUGCUUCUCUGUCUCUAUUCAUUUACAUACUUAUCCUCACUAGUGACCGAAGCAACCAAGCGAAGGUCACAAAACCUGACACUUUAUGUUGUACCAAAGUCCUUACUGAUUUUGUGUAUCAACAUUUGGGGCCAUCUGUGGGAAUGACACUUAUUCUCACUCUCUUCAGCUUUGUCAAGCUGGUUUCCACCGCUCGUACACUCUCUUUUGGCCAAGCAUCUCUCUCCGACAUGGGGAGCGAAAGAAGCCAUAGCACACAUAAUGACACCCCCCUUGGACCUAGUAUGAAGCAACGAAAGCAGGAAGGAAAUAGAGUUACUCUUCAAGCUAAAGUCGAUGAGCUAGAGGUUCAGAACAACAAGAUAACAAUGAAGAAUGAGGUCCUCCAGGAACAAUAUGAAAAACUUUUCGAGAUGCUUCAUGAGGCUAGGCGUGCUCAAACACACAAGCUCGUCGCCCCUGUUGAGGUCAACAAUCAUCUGAAUGCCCCCCAACACGGAGGGUCACUGAUAUCCAACAUGGACAUCCCUGAUAGGGAUCGAGCUACACAUCAAUGUGAUAAUCAACAUGAGACUUCUCUCAACCCAGCUGCUUCAACCCGAAGCAGAAGAAGUAGAGGAAAACACCUCCUCACAGAGGGAGUGAAAGGAUCAAAAGUCGUCUAUCGCGAUUGUCGAGACUUCCUAAAGCAACGUCGAUAGAAUCUCAUCCACAUAAGCUCGAAGAUCAAUGACCCAAGAGUUUCUGAAAGACUGGGUCCUCUUCCACGACCUAGGCCAGCAGCCAAUCUAGGGAAUGGGCAACAGGUCCCAGAAGAACAUGAAGGUACAGGGGACUCGAAAAUAUUUCGACAUACUCACUCUAGGAGUCAGUGUGGCGAGUCCAAGGAAAAAUCACGCUAUCUUGAUCAAACUUUCCUACUUCCAAGAGGCGAUGGGGACUUACGGAAGAAAACUUCAAUGGUGCACGACUCCACUCAGGACCCCCUUCUCCUACAGCUCCUGGAGGAAGUAAACAAGUUGAAGGCUGAACGUCAAGCUGAGAUACCUGACUGGAACCAACCCAGGCCUGGCACCCUCACAAGAAGGAUCCUCAAGACCCCCUCCAAGCAAAGACAAAGCAUAAGCUUGACUUACAACUCUAUACUGGAAGGGAAGACCCGAUUGAACACCUUAACCUCUUUAAGUCCACCAUGGUAUACCGGAGACACACCGAUGAAGAACGGUGCAUUCUCUUCCCCUCCAUCCUCUCUGGCGAAGCUUUAAACUGAUAUUGCUGUCUUCCACCUAAGACAGUAGACUCAUUUGAAGAGUUGAGGAAGCUGUUUGUCUCUCAACACAUCUUCCAGACCGAUCGCUUGUAUUCUGCAGAUGACUUGUACACUAUUCACCAGAAGCCGGACGAGUCAUUACGAAAGUAUGCUGGCCGCUUCAGCCAUAAGUAUUCUCGCUGCGCUGAGGCAGAUGACAAGACCGCCCUCAAGGCCUUAACGGCAGGCUUACGUGACUGUUUCUUCAAGUACAUGAUCAAUGCCAACACUUGGAAGACUUACUCUGAGGUGAUGACAUAAGCUUACAACCAUGCAUCUGCCGAAGCAAAGACAUAUCAAGGGAAACCCCCUACAGUCACCCCUUAUCAGCAAGUAGGGAGUGGAGGCCAGAUCUAACCGAAUGAGAAGACCUCAACCUUCCAAACGGUAGCAGCACACCCCCUGCCUCAUUUAAUGCUUCGCCAAGUCAACAGACAUAUCAAUCCCAGGGCAAAAGGAAAGAUUUCCAUCCUCACCAAUCUUAUUUUAAUAAAAAGAAUAAGGGGCAUUAUCGCGAUAACUCAGGAUAUCGUCACAAUAACGCCCGUCCCCAGGCAGUCAACGCAGUGGGCUAAUCACGUGUCAAGACAGGCCCUACCCCGAGGUAUGAGACAUACACACCUUUGAACGCUACAUGCGCGGCCAUCUACCCCAGUAUAGCUCACCUGAUACCAAAGCCAAAGCCAAGACAACCAGAUUACAAGUCCACGAAGAACACGGGCAUGUUUUGUUGCUACCACGAGUAUAAUGGCCAUGAUGGCGAGAAAUGCAUCAUCCUCCGUGAUCAUAUUAAAGCUUUAGCACAUGAAGGAAAAAUUGAUCAGUUCCUCCUUCACCCUCUAAAAGAUAACCGUAACUAAUGCCAGGUGAAUGUGAUAUAUUCCAUAAGCGGCGGCACACCCAUGUCUGAAUCUUCCAAUAGGGCCAUGAAAAACAGUGAAUGAACUUUGAGACCUGGCCAUCAAGUGUUUCAUGUGGAAGACAUCAGGGGAGGCAAGUAUCAAAAGCCUAACUGGGAUCCAAUAUGUUUCUACCCUGAGGAAGAAAGAGGUAUCAUCUACCCUCACAACGACCCGCUGAUCGUGGAGGCUCACAUAGCAAAUUUUGAUGUGAAACGAAUCCUGAUAGACACAGGUGCUUCAGUCAAUAUCAUGUUUGCUGAAGCUUUCAAGGCAUUUAAUAUAGCUGAACACUUGCUCGAUCGCUCGAUUUCUCCUCUGAUAAGCUUCUCUGGCGAUAUCGUACAACCUUUAGGGAGUAUACAUUUACCCCUCACCAUUGGUACAGGCCCCUACACAGCUACUAUUACCUUCCUAGUGGUCAAUUGCCCGACGGCAUACAAUGUCAUCUUUAGGCGCACAGGCAUCAAUGAUCUCAAGGCCAUGGUAUCUACACAUAUGUUAUUGAUGAAGUUUCCAACCCCUUUCAGCAAUGGAUACAUCAGGAGAGAUCAACUUAGUGCUCGAUCAUGUUACAACACUUUAGUUAAGCAACAACACCUACAUGUCCCCAAGGAGACCCUCUCUAUACAUAACCAGGUAGUAAAGACUAGUCCAGAUGAAGCCAACUCGGAUCUUCAUGAUGGCAACAGUCAACCCGACGACCCUCGAGAUGACUCAUUCACCCAGCAAGCACAACCCGCUGAAGAGUUAGAAAAUGUCUCUAUCUCCAAAGACCAUCCAGAUCACAUGGUGAAGAUUGGUACCACUUUGUCACCACCCCUUCGGUUGUCGAUGAUCUCCUUUUUGCAAGAGAACGCCGAGGUCUUCGCUUGGUCAUAUAAAGAUAUGUCGGGCAUCUCUCCCGAUAUCAUUUGUCACCACUUAAGUAUUGAUCCCAAGACCAAACCAGUAAAACAGAAGCGAAGAUCUUAUGAUGUUGAACGAUAUGAGGCGAUGAAAGUAGAAAUUGAAAAACUUAAGGACAUAGGCUUCGUCCGUGAAGUCAAUUACCCAACAUGGGUAGCAAAUGUUGUCCUUGUUAAGAAAAAUCCGACCAAGGAAAGUCUCCUGCUUCAAAAGGUCUUGUGGAGAAUGUGUGUCAACUACACCGACCUAAACAAAGGAUGCCCGAAGGAUAGUUUCCCCCUUCCUCUCAUUGAUAGACUUAUAAACUCUACGGUAGGGUGUGAGCUCUUGAGCUUCAUGGACGCUUAUUCAGGAUACAACCAAAUCCUCAUGAACCCCUCAGACCAAGAACACUUAGCCUCCACUACUGACAGGGGACUAUAUUGCUACAAAGUCAUGCCCUUCGGUCUAAAGAAUGCAGGGGCAACUUAUCAAAGGCUAGUUAGUUCAAUGUUUACCGAACAAAUCGGGAAGAGCAUGAAAGUUUAUGUUGACGAUAUGUUAGUCAAGAGCAAACAUGCCGACCAGCAUAUCACCAACCUAUAUGAAACCUUCACCAUUCUGAAGAGGUAUUGAAUGAGGUUGAACCCCAACAAAUGUGCCUUCGGCGUGGGCUCUGGCAAAUUCUUAGGCUUCAUGAUUAGCCAAUGAGGCAUUUAAGCUAACCCCGAAAAGAUCAAAGCAAUCCUCGACAUGAAAGAGCCAGUAACUUCAAAAGACAUCCAAAGCCUUACUGGCAAGGUGGCAGCCUUAACCAGAUUCAUCUCUAAGGCCACAGACAGAUGUGCUCCUUUCUUCAAAACACUCAAGGGAAAUAAGAAGUACAUUACAUGGACGGAGGAAUGUGCCAAGGCAUUCAGGAACCUCAAAGAGUACAUGAGUAAAGCCCAUCUGCUCUCCAAACCAGAAGUUGGUGACACUCUCAUUAUCUAUCUAUCGAUUUCGGCUUCAGCAGUCAGUUCUGUUCUUAUUCGAAAGGACAGUGGUGUCGAACGGCCCGUCUACUAAUCUAGCAAAGCCCUACAAGAUGUCGAGACACGAUACUCCAACAUUGAGAAAUUAGCUAUAGCAUUGGUCAUGUAUGCUCGAAAACUUUGCCCUUAAUUCCAAGCACACGCCAUCAUCGUGCUUACCAAUCACCCUCUUCGACAGAUACUCUAGAGUCCUGACACGUCUGGGUGAAUGAUCAAAUGGUCGAUAGCAUUGGGUGAGUUUGACAUUGCCUACCAACCAAAACCAGCCGAAAAGGGUCAAGUAGUAGCAGAUUUCAUCGCCGACUUCACAUAUCCUGUUGACAUUGGUUCUACACCUGAAGCAGUAGCUUCAUUACCAUCGGAAGCUCAGAAGAUAGAAUCAACAACCCCAGCAUGGAGUCUGUAUGUUGAUGGCUCAUCCAACCAAGAAGGCUACGGAGCAGGAUUAGUCCUCACUACCCCUGACAAAGUGGCGAUAGAAUACGCUCUUCAUUUAAAAUUUCCAAACUCAUCUGAGGUUGAACCCCUAAUCAUAUCACUCUGAGUCCUACCGCCAUUUUCUGCAUCUCCAAACUCAUCAUCACCCUGAUGACUCUGCUCAUCAGCACUAGCCUCAUCGCCAGACUCAUCUACACUGCUAGAAUAAACUACAAGGUCGAAGGUUUCACCUUUUCGAUGAUGCUCAUCUAUUUCUUCACGGUAUUUUCGAAGAACACUUCCAUCAUCAUAACGAUCAAGGACAUCCAUCCACUUCCUUUUUUCAAAGUGAACUUCCCGGGUACAUCGAGGUCUAAGGACAUGGAGAAAGGCCUGGGAACCCAAGAACUCCUUCACAGCAGCUUCCUUCUCAGUCGGGAUACUACUCUUCAGCUCAGAAACCUCAACCAAGGCACUAUCCAACUCCCCUUUAACCUUGGAAACCUCGAGCAUAGUUGUCUCCAACUCUUUCUUAGUUGCCUCCAACUGUACCUUGAGUCUCAAGUUCUCACCAUUUCGCAUCUUCAAACUCUCAAAAUGUUGAUCCUUGACUUGGAUGGCCUCAGCCAAAGCUUUGCUCGUCUUCCUGGCAUCAUUCACAAGCUGCUUAUUCUCUUUCAAUUUCACCUUGCACCGCUCAGCCUCUCGUAGUCUGUCGUGAUACUCAGCCAUGACCUGCAUGACAAGACGAUCAUCUCUACCAAAAUAAUGCUAAUAAAGAAGAGAAAACAAGGAAAUGACAAAGUAACACUCACAUAUGAAGACAGCUUCAACAUCCGGUCACAAUCCGAUUCAUCUUUAGCUAAGGGCUUUCCGAGCUCAUCAAAAGUGAAUCGACGCCUUGCCAGGCAAUUGUUGAUAUACCCAAAGUCCUUUGGCUGCAUGGCAACCUUCAAAUCCUUCCAAGGGACACUGCCAACCUAUUCCUUAUCUUUACCCUCGCUGCUAGAACUAGGAUCACCUUUUUGCCCAAUGUGCUCCCUAACUGGAGGAAAGAUAGGAUUGAUAGUAGGAAGAGGAGGCAGCAAUCACCUAUCUUCCCUGGCAACUAUGGCAGCAGCACAUCCAAUGGCCUCAACUUCAGCUUUCUUCAAGGCAGCAACCUUGAGGACUUCUUCUCGAGACUUAGUUUUAAUGAUUGGUCUCACUCGGUGCUUGCAAGCUUCCUUGUGAAACAGGAUGUCUUCUGAAGGAACUAACAUGGGCAUUCUCCUUUUCUUGGUGCUAGUCUCCACUUUCUUGCCCACCUUCUCCACUGAACAAGGAAACUCAAAGUAAGGAAUACCACAUUAUAUAUCUAUAUAUAUAUAAAAAAAAAAGGAGGGAAGAACAAGGAUCAAGUGAAGGAUACAACUUACUCGCUCGUCUCUGGCACUCGGAAACUAAGGGCUGGAAACCCUACUUUCGAAACAAGGGUCGUAGCUUACCCAAGUGUCUAUCUUCUUUGGGCACCCUCAGCACUUUCUCUACAUCAGCUAGCUUCUGUCCGGAGAGUUUGAUGGUGCCUCGUGUCACUGCAUGAAGAAAAAUCUUAGAAGCAAGAGAAAAUCACAACAAUAGCAAAUAAUAAGAAAAUGGAUACAUUACAACCUACAGUUUGGAAGUGAGUAGGAACACGUCGCUCAGGUGUGACACCCUUAGCAUGCUCCCAAUCAUUAUAAAGAAAGCACCAAUAUUUCUUCCAUGUGCAGUACGCCUUUCUCUUAUCAAAGACAACACGCUCUCUCUCGCUCCGACAUGCACAUUCGGCAUAACCAGUACAUGCUUUCACCGGGCGCAUCUUAUAACAGUAGCGCCAUUGAUGGAAGGAAGGCUCACCUAAUCCACACUUCAUCCAAAUAAUAUAAAACCCGAUCAAGGUAUCCUAGAAACCAGGGUUGAGUUGCCCAGGUGCAUAACCAAUAAAAGACAGCAUCCAUUGCAACCACGGAUGCAAACGUAAAUUUACCCCCAAGGUCCCUAAUGUCUGGUUAUAGAACAUAACAUGACCCUUGGGCGGCUCAGAAGGCAAUUCUUCAUAACGCACCAAACGUAUUCCUACACUACGGGGGAUACUACAUGAUCGCCUUAGGGCCUCAAGCUGCUUUUCGCUAUCUAACAAGUUAUUUUCUAAAUGGUCCACUGUGAACUCAGAGCGAAAUAUGGGUAUGGCGUCAUAAACAACCCCCUCACCCACUAGCAUGGAGUAAGAACCAAUAUUGGCUAAGGUUUGACAAUUGUGAGGAUUAUCUAACGUUUCUUUCGUACAAGACUCUAACAAAUGCCAUGAAGACCCUGACAUUGCAGGCUCAAACCUAGAGCUAGAGCUAGAUGAGCCCUCAUCACUAAGACUUCCAGACUCCGACACCUUUCCAUACCACAUUCACUAUUCUGUCAACAGCAAGAGUAUCCCAUAUCAUCAGGGUUGAUCAUACUCUAGAUUUGAUGGACUUGUUUUGACCCUCAAAUUCUUGAGUCGACUCACUAAGGCGUCGUGAACUGCACGUGCCGAUUCACCACUCUUGAAUCAAAUCCUUAAAGAUCAAGCCACCAACGGUCCUUGAAGAUAUCACAAGCCCGAUUCAAGAUCAAGUGUUCACCACCCUGAAUCAAAUCCAAUUCAAGAAUAAACCUGUGGAAAGUUACUUCUUCAAAAGCAAAAGUAUCUCAUAUCAUCUCUUCUCAUUGUUCUUCCCUUUAUCCUUCAUGCUGCCUGCAAGAUAGGGAGAAUGAGAACAAUCAGCCAGAACUCGAAAUCACAUAUCUGAUCUGGGACUGAUUGCUUGGAGCUCUAAUUGUUUACCUUAUCUGUCACCUCUUUCGGCAGAUCUCCUAGCUCGGCGACUUGGGGGACUCCUACUACAUGGUUUGUAUCGCGUUUGACCAAGCCUAAAACUACAAGUAAGCUUCAAGUGAAAAUGAUACAUUACCUUGUGCAUCUCCACCGGUUAAAGACACCACCCCUGAAUGGAGGAAGCGUACUUCCAGAGAAGAUGCCACAUCUACCUAUGAGAAAGAUAAGGCAAGUGAAGACGAUACCACACCUCGGUACUCAGAAGUUUCAUGAUUACUCAGCGGCUUGGAUCUUGCAAGUCCCCAACCGAGGAGCUUCCCUCACUUGGGAACUUAGGGGAGCACUGUUUGUACCAUACUUGACCAAUCCCGAAACUACUGAGCACCGGUCAACGUUAUACCGUCAAGGACCCAGAAGAGCUUCCCUUCAACCAGGAGGCCAAUCACAAUGCGACACGUGUCGAUAUCAAAAGCCAAUAUAGCGCGACACAUGUCAACAUCAGAAGCCAAUCACAACACGACACGUGUCAAUGUCAGAACAAAACUAGAAACUCUCUUCUAUAAAUAGGGAUCAUUCUCCCACAAUAAUCUCUAAUGUCAUUUUGUACUAAACUAUUCACUAGAACUCACAAAAGGAGAGCUUGAACCUAUGUAUUUGUGUAAACCUUUCACAAUUAAUGAGAACUCCCUUACUCCGUGGACGUAGCCAAUCUGGGUGAACCACGUAUAUCUUGUGUUUGCUUCUCUGUCUCUAUUCAUUUACAUACUUAUCCUCACUAGUGACCGAAGCAACCAAGCGAAUGUCACAAAACCUGACACUUUCUGUUGUACCAAAGUCCUCACUGAUUUUGUGCAUCAACAUAUACAUAUCCAACAAUACUGCAAUAAGUCAAAAAUGCAAUUCAAAUUUUAAGAAAACCCUAAAUGGUGGCAAUAGAUUAAUCAUCAAUGUAAAAAUUUUAAUUUAAAAACCCUAAAAUCCCUACACCAGAAAUUCACAUUAAUAACAAAACCCUCAUUCAAAAUUAUCUAAAUUUUAGAAGGAUGAUGGCUGGUAGCAGUGUCCUCGACGGCGGUGAUGGGGUGAUGGUGGUUGCGACGGUGGUGGUGUUGUCGAAGAGGAAAGAAUCGAGCCGUCGUGGUUCUGGAACUUGGGUUCUCUAGGAUGUCAUCGAGGAGGAUGGCUGGAUGGGUGGUGUCAUUGUGUUGGUCACGACGACGGUGAUGGGCUAGGUGAUUUAUGUGAAGUGAGGCUGGUGAGCACUAUCGUCAAGGAGAAGAAGAUGAUUGAGAGCUGUAGUCGAGGGAGUCGAGGGAGGGACAGAUGGUGGAGAGGUGGAGUGACUGAUUAUGGUAACCUGGACUUGGGAUGACUAGGGUAGAAACUAAUGGUUGAGAUUGGAUGAUAGGUUAUCAUUCAAUCUCGACCGUUCAUUAUAAUUAGAAACAGGUCAAUUCGGGGCCCCAUUUUUCUAAGUAUAUUAGAUCAUUAUUCAAAGAUCAGUCUUACAAAAAAAAUAGCCAAAUCUGAUAACAUUGAAUUAUCUAACCAUAACCAAACAAAUAGAUGAACACCAUUUUUUUGGUUAAGAAGAAAAUUAAGCCAAUAUUUGCAAGAGUAAUAUUCAAAAGAUGAUUAGAAAAAUGAACUGUUCAAAUAAUAAAACGAAGUAGUGGAGUUAGUCCAAUCGAAUGAUUAGUGACGUAUUAACCUAUAAUAGGUGAAGCAAAAUGGUGUGAGUUUAUCAUUUCUCAUUUGAAAAAAAAUCUCCCCAUUUAAAAAAUGCCCCAUUUUAUUUAUUUCUCAUCCAAUGAUUCGGUUAAACAAAUAAAAUAUUAAACCAACUAGCAUUCAAUGGUUCAGUUUUGACUAAUACCACCUUCGAAACCAAACCAUUGUUAAUUGAUUUGGUUUAGUCAUUUAAACCUAUUUUAGUAUACCAAUAACAAAUGUCCAACAUUUUAAGACUCAAGAGUUUUAAUUUGUCUAAGCAUCCAUGCAUCUCACACGUUUGAAUACGUUCAAAUGAUAAAGUUUUUUGGAACAUAAAAAUUUCAUCAAGAGCUAGGACUAAUUACAAUUAAACACAUGCUAGCAGACGAUUUAUUAGUUAUAAUCUCACAUAAACAUAAAAUACAAACAAAUAUUCUAAUUGUUUAUAGUCCUUACAACUUUGUACGUGAGAACACUUAUGAUAUGUGAAUGGUAAAUAUCCAAAUGACCUAUAAUAUAUUAACAUGUAUAAAAUAAAUAUCAUAAUUUUAAUACAAGUGUUCAUGGGCGAAGCCACCAUAAGCUUACAGUGGUCUUUUGACCCUUGUAAAGUUUUCAUGCUUCUCAUUAAAAAUAUAAUAUUAUAUAAUAAUAAUAAUUAUUAUUAUUAUUUAUCUUAUGCCUACUUGUCUCCCACUAAACAACCUAAGCCUUACUUGUUAGUUGACCCGUAGAGUCCCACAAUGGCAGAUUUAGAAUGAUCGGAAUAUGCUUAUUUUCAGACAGGUGAACCAUAUCUGUCUAAAACAAUCUCCUUGUAUGUCAUUAUUGGUUUGGAUUUAAUUAUAAUGCUAAGGAUGCUAAGAAGAAGUCAGGAUUCAUUGCAUGGUGUCAUUAAAUGGCAGUAUUGAAGCCCCCUUUUAUUAAGAUCAACUUUGAUGAAGUCGUGGUAGAUAACAUUGGAAUUGCUCGCUUUGAAAUUAGAGACAGAAAUGGAUAGCCUAGGAUUUUGGGAGCUAGAAACCUGGGUGAUGUCACUAUCCUAAUGGUGAAGCAUUAGCUUUCAAAAUAUUUACUUAGAGAGAGAUUCUAAGCUGGUUAAAGGCGAUCCCAAACAAAUGCGGUAUUUUUAAGAGUUUAAAACCAAUCAUUGGUAAUAUUCAAUGGAUGACUUCGUUCUUCUAUAUGGUUUAAGUGGAAGCAUACCUACUGGAAAACUAAUUUCAUCGAUGAUGCUAUUGCUAGUAUUGGUCUUUCUAUGCAUGAUAGGCAUAUUUGGGAUAGGUAUAGCCCUGCUUCAUCUUUCGAAUUCUUUUUUGAAUAAACAAAUCAAUUAGGUCAUUAUUGACUCUUAAAUUACAAUUUUCUUUGUGAUUAUGUUGUUCAUUAGUGAGAAUUAUUAUUUUCUCUAAUUAAAAAUAUUGUAACCUAUAGAGCUGGAGAGGUAGUUAAGAAUGACCAUACACCAAUUGUCAUCUUUAAUACCAAGAGGCGGAUCAAAUGAUAGUGCUCCAAAACGUAAUUGUCAAUAAAUUAAUUUGUAAGAUCUUUCCACAAUCCCUAGGUUACGAAUUCAAUUUUCAAAUUAUAAUUCUAAUGUUCAAGAUCAGGUGCAUAGAGCCUACUUACAAAACGGUCAUUGCUAACCUAAAAAUCAUAAGCGAUCAAUCUUGUACUUGUUCUACAACAACAUUAAUAUGCAUGUCUUUAUAUUGCAAAUCAUUGCUAACCUCAUUAACAACCAAGAUUCCGUACAAAUAGUCAUGCCAAGUAAAAAAAUCAACAUUCCCUAUCUCAUAUAUUGCCAACGAUUUAGCUACACUUCUUGUUACUAAGUCAAUUGUCACUUUCUACUAAUUGGAGUAAAGCCUUUUUUAUUUGCAAAGGUUGUGAUUGAAUUGUUUUAACACUUACAAUACGGCUUUUCCAUAGUGUGGCUGACAAUGAUUUGAGUGUCAAUUCUUUUAUGUUUUCUUUUAGAAAGCCAUUGGAUUGUAGAAUUAGUGAACAGGUUGUACAUACAUUGUACUGUUCCAAAAAAGUCUUUGACUUUGCCACAAGAGUUUAUCAUAUCAAAAAGUGUUAUGUUAAGAAUAUGGCAACCACAUGGAGUGUACAUUGCCCUAAGAUUUAUAUUCAAAAGUCUCUUUUGUAUACCUUGGUGUCUCCCUCUUUUAUUUGAUCCAUUAUCAUAUAUUUGCCCUCUCACAUCAUUAGUAUCAAGAUCAAGAGCUUUUAACACAUUCUGCAACUUUUCAAAUAUUUAUUAUCCUAAAGUGCUAUUCACAUUUAGAUAUUUCAAAAAAUAUUCUUCUAUUUUUACUGGAGUACUAUUCACAUUCACACAUCUUAAGAUCAAAAUCAUAUGUUCUUGGUGGCUAAAAUCAACAAUAUAAUCAAGUAUCACAAUAAAAUAUUUAGCUUAUUUUGUUUUUUAAAUGAUUGCACCUUUGAUUUCACAAGAUAUCAAUAAUAUCAACUCAUUUUAGAUGGUACGGCUAAAAUAAUAAUAAUGAAUCUAAGUGUUUUGAAGACGUUGAUGAUUCAUCAAUGUAUAAGAUUCAUCCAUGAUUUCACAAUGCAAAUCAACCAUCGUAGUAACUCCCUCCAAUGCUCUUUUUUUUUUUUUGGUCUUGCACAACUUUGUUAAUUGUUCCAUUUUAUUUGUUUGAAAUCUAAGACGCAAAUCUAUCCGAGUGGUUAUGUUUGAGAUGCGAUUUGAAUUGUUUUCAUGCUCUUUAAGCCUCACACUGAGAUGUGUCUGAUAUUUAUGGCCCUCAUUUGCUAAUUAACCUUUGAGAGGCCCUUUCUUGAACAAUUAGUAAAACAGAACAAUUUAUCAGCAUCCUUUAAAUACACUAGUAAUCGCGAUCACAUUUCUAUCCAUUUGAUAAAUAUCGAGUGUACAACGCUGCAUUAUAACACCUAUUAAACUGAUCUUUAAGAACUCUCUAAUUAAUAAUUCUUUUGCAGGACCUUUUUCUGCUAACAAAUUCAUUUAUUUGAGAUCAAGACUAUCCCAAAUUUGAGGAUCAUAAAUUUUGAGGGAAUUAACUCACUCAAUUGUUCAGUGAACUAGAGCAUUCUCAUGAUUCAUUCUCAUCAAGGUCAUCAACUUCAUCAUGGCCCAAAUCAUCAACUAAUUCCUCAUUGUCAUUAUAUUUACAUUAACGAAAUCAUCUAUUGAACUUUGUGGUUCUUUUUGUUUAACAAAGAACCUAUCAAUAACUCAUUUUUUAGACUGAGUAAAAAAUUGAUAUUUUCUAGUUGGUGCCAUCUUUUAUAUCUCAAACAAGAUCACAAUUAAAUUAUAGUUGGUAUAAAUAGUGAAACCUGAUAAUCCUCAAUAUGUGUGCGUCUAGUGGUUUUUUGUGACCACUCCUCUCUUGCCAUGAUGAUUAAUUGAUUAAUUUCUAUGAAUUUUGCACAGAAAAGUACAAAAGAAAUCAUUAUAGAUGAGGGAUACCUAAAUCUUCAAAUUCCAACUUAAUAUACUUGAACUAAUAUAUAUCUUACUUUAAUCAAACUCUAACCACUUGAAUUGUUUCAAUGGUUUGAAAUAUUUUUCCAAUUGGCAUGAAGAACAGUAUGUGAGAUACAUGAAAAGGGAAAAAGGAAAAUAAAAGAGAGAGGCGUCUGACAUGAGAGAGAAACAAUCGUUGGAGUUUGACUCUGGCGUGAGAAUUGAGAACCAACUUGUACUUGUAAGCAUGCAACCUUGUGGCUUGUGGGUCUACUAGCAUUUGUUAUAUAUUUUUUGCUCUGACUAGUGUGUAUCUAUAUAUAUAUAUAUAUAUUUUUUUUUUUUUAUAGCAUUUGUAUAUAUAUUUUUUGCUCUGACUAGUGUGUAUGUAUAUAUAUAUAUAUAUAGGAAAAAUACUUUAGGGCCCUUAAAUUUUGGGGACCUAUGUCGUGGAAUAGGUGACACACCCCAAAGCUGACUCUGUAUAUUUGUUUCAAAUUUAGUGACUAUUGUUGGUCGCUCAUGUAAACAUCAUGAUUUUCUUUAAAAAAAAACAAGCAUCCAAGAUUAUUGAGGCUCUUAAUGCUGGAGAGAUUUUAAGUGGGAGGGGUUUGAAUCAAGAAACCACGCAUAAACGACCAGGUGACACAAGAUGAGGAUCACUUUAUGGUACAUUAAUAAGCAUCAUCUAUUUGUUUUUAUCUAUAGUUGAAUUGCUUGAAAUGAUUAGAGAUGAUGGGACAUCCAUAGAUUAGAAGCAUGAAGCAACCAAACUAUUAGACUAUAUGGAAUCAUUUAAUUUUGCACUCGGUCUGCAUUGAUGAAAACUUUGUUAGAAAUCACAAAUCAAUUAUCACAUGCAUUGUAGAGAAGAGAUCAAGAUAUUGUGAAUGCGAUGAACUUAGUUACUCUAAGAACAACUACAACAUAUGAGCGUCGGUGGAUGAAAUUCUUUACUUAGUCCAGUUAUUUAUGAGAAAUAUGCAUUGACAUUCCUAACAUGGCGGAUAAAUUUCCCAUUAGGCCGAUCGCAAUGAAAAGCUCCGAAAAUGACAAAUUUGCAUUAUUAUCGAGUUGAUUUAUUUGUUGCAUUUAUAGAUAUGCAACUUGAAGAGCUGAAUAGAUUUGCAAUUGAAGAGCUGAAUAAUCAUUUUAUUGCUUCUUUGUCUAGUAUGUUUGAGUUCACUUGAUUCAUUUUCUACUUUCAACAAACAAAAAUUGAUUCAUCCAGCUCAAUUUUAUCCAAGGGGUUUUUAUGAAGGUGAUCUAUUAGCAAUUUUGACAUAUUCUGGAUAUGCUCGAUAUUUCCAUUGAAAUAUCCAAAAAUUCAGGAAAUGAUAUGGAAAGAGGGGCACCUCAUAUCCAUGAUAUUUCUGAAUAUCAGUCAAUUUCCUCGAUAUUUUUUAUAUUUUCAAGAAAUAUCCAGUGUUUGCAAACAAUUUGCAAAACGUUUGAAGGAAAUAUCCAUGAGCCUAUGCAUUCUUUAAUUUUUUUUAAUUUCUUUCUUUAUGGUAUUAAUUUAUUUUCAAUAAAACUUGUGUUGUUUUUAUGACAAAAAUUUCAAUUAAGUUAUGUAUAAUUUAUUCUUUCUAGUGAAAGCUUUAUUUUAUUAAUGUCAUUAUAAGGAAGUUUUUCUUCUCACAUAUCACAUACUUAUUGUUUACAUAGUAUCUAAUCAUUAAUUCUUGAUUCAUACGUGUGUUAUGGCUUCAUAUGACAUUCCCUUUUUUUUUUUUUUUAAUUUUCAUUUUUGUGAGCAAAUUUCCAUCAUUUCCAUCGAAAGCAAUCGAUAUCGAUAUAUGAUAUACCCAUCGAUAUUUCUACAAAUUUGCCUAUCGAUAUUUCAACCGAUACCGAUAUUUUAAACACUGUCUCUUAGUAGUUUGAAGAUCUCUUAGCACUUGAAGAUGAACUUGAAACUUACAUAUUUGAUCUGUGGUUGACUAAUGUGUUUUUGAGGCUGAAAGGAAUUAGUGAUCUUAGAGAAAAACUAGUUAAGUACCAAUUUGGUAGUGCUUAAAUUUUUUUAUAAGUAGGGAUGAAAAACAGUUUGGCUCAAAAUUGUGUUUGUAAUUAAGCCAAAUAUCCCUUAUUUUCAAAUCACGGCGAGAAAUAAUUUAAAAGGAGAAGCAUCUAUUUGCUGCUUUCAAAAACCGGCUUUUCAUCUAAAAACACGGGUGAACAAUAAUGUUUAACUAAUUUUUGUAAUUGCCGAUCCUGCCCUCAUUCUAUUCCUUGCUCUGGUCGCGUCCCAUUUCAUUGCUUCACAACGACACAUGCUUCUUCAUUUGGAUGCUUUGUGGUCAGAGGUAAGCAAUUAGACACCUAGAGCAGAAGACAAUCUCCUGAAAAGUCUCUUUCGUGGAAUUUACCUCUCUUACACCCAAUUCUAGACCCCAAACCCAUUCCCAACUCAUUGCCCCAAACCCACUCCCCAACUUGGAACUUCAUUCCUAAUUCAAACUUACACCUCCUACCACAUCAAAAUUUAUAAAUUAUUCGAUACCAACCUCUUUCCAAAUCCACCCCAUACAUCUUCUGUCACAUCCUGAUCCCAACAUAUGUCUAGGAUCGACACGCGACGACACCAAUACCCGUAUAUCUAACAUACCCCGCCUCCAGGAUAUGUACAAAGCACAACUCGAGAAUCGAAUCACAUAGUAGUUUUUCAUAUACUUUAUGGAUGCAUCUAACCUCCUUGUUAGACUGCCUACGUACCCUAAUUAGGGAUCAAGCCAUUCGCAGUUCGUCAUUUCACUACACUCGAAUAUUCAUCAAUUAAAUCGUUAUGUCUCAAAAAUAAAUCACAAUGCAUAACAUGCAACAUUACAAGGGACAAACGAUGGAGCACAAUCAUAUUCACUAAUCAUAAAGUUCAACGAGUCUAAUCAUUAUUACCAUAACCAAUAUCAUUCCAUAAUCACAUCCAUCAAUAAUGCCAACCAUCACAUCAUCAAUAACACAUACAACACGUCAAAAUGCGGCCUAGAGCGCCACAGCUCGGCCGAAGACUACAUCUAUGAAAAAGGGAAUUUUGGACCACCCAACGAAACCAAGGCACCAAAGGGAAUUCCAAAUCAUCACUCAACGGAAUCCAAUCAGGAUAUGAUUCCGGACCAUCACUCAACUAAAUCCAAUCAGGAUACGAUUCCGGACCAUCACUCAACGGAAUCGCGAAGUAGAAGGGAUUUCGGACCAUCACUCAACAGAAUCCAAUCAGAACUUAGUUCUGGACUACUUAACAGAAAUGAACAAAAGUCCAGGAAGCAUAACAACGGCUCGAAAGAAUAAGACAUGAUUCAAGUUACUCAAUUCACAAAGACUCAAUGAAACGAAACAAUAUCAAGCAACAAAUCCCCAUCACAAUGCGUUAUCGGUCCAUUACUAUACCUCAUAUCUCCCAAGCAAUUCAAUAUGCAUUUCAAUCACAUGUCACAACCAUUUCCAAUACACAAGUCAAAUCACAUUUCACUACAUCAUACCAAUCACUAUGCUUCCAACAUUAUAUCUCAAUCCAUAGCUUGUAACAUAUCAAGGAAUCAUGAAGCACAAUAUUAAUAUUUAAUCACAUUAAUCAAUCGGUGAGAUAGCAUAUCAUUUCACGAAUUUAAUUAAAGAACUCUACAUAAUUUCCUACUUGGGUUAUGGAUAAUAACAUGGUAAUUCUAAUUUGUAUUCACAAGAUCCAUCGUGGGUAAUUCCCAUUGACACGAAUCUAGGAUUCUAAGAUAACCUUAUGAAAUGAGCAAGAGCAAGGAUUCUGGACUACUUAACGGAAUCAAAAUAUCAAACGGUUUCUCAUAAUUUACCCAGACCUGUCGCAUGUGAAAUAAGUGCCUACAUCAUGGAAAUGGUGCUAUCAAACCAACACACAACUUACCUCUUACCUCCACACUUAUGAUUUACAACAUGAGCACAUACACCAUCCAUUUAUGUAUUUCCCAUCUAGGCUCCAAAGCAUUGUUUCGAAUUAUUACUACAAGCAUCCAUCACCUCGAUCAACUCCUAUUCUCAAGUAUAUGCAAUUACUAAAUGCAUCACUUCUGACUUUAGUCUUAAUUAGAUUACUUGGAACUACUAAUUCACACUAUGAGAUCCAAAUACUAUUUUGGUUAACUUGAAUUAACAUGAUCAAAAUAAAUGUAACAUUUGAAUGAAAACACUUAGAGAAAAUAAGUGAAGAUGCUACCUACAAAUAUAGAUGUACGUGUACAUAAAAGCCUUGGCAGUUGGUGCAUAUAUAUAUAUAUAUAUAUAUAUAUAUGUAUAUAUAUAUAUAUGUAUAUAUAUAUAUGUAUAUAUAUCCAGGGAUAUAAGUAAGUUCCUUUGAAUAUGCAUAUAUAGAUAUAUGUAUACGGUAGAUAAGGAAACAAAUUCAUCCCUUCAUUAAUUUAUACAUACAUAUAAGGAUUCGUUCAACUUCAAACAUAAGCAGAAAGGUCUGAUAAUGCUAAACCAAUGAGAUGGAAUCAAUAUGCUCAUCAACAAUGACUAUUCACUGUCAUCACAAGGAUAAAAUUUGGACCACGUCUGACUAAAUGUAUACUAACAACUCUAGCAAAAUUGUACCAAUUAUGAAGUUGGGACAAUAUAAUUGUCGAUUCCCCAUCAUCAACAUUACAUUAAUGCAUUCACUAACUUUAAAGUAACAAUUGCAACAUGAUAAAUGGGUAAUUUUCAAAUAAGGCUAUACAUACAUAAUGUUAACCAUCAGCAUUUCAUAAAUCAGAUGUCACACACCAGGAAAUUCGACUUUUUCCAAAAAUUCUCAAAUUUUACAGGAAUAAAGAUCUCAACAAGUAGAGUAAGCUUUAUACCUGUGGACAAGUCCAAUUUGGUUGGGAAGGCCCUCAGAUUAGCUCGCAUCAUUCGAAAACCCUAAGGUGGGUGUUCUUCAAUUCGGCUUCCUUGGUGUUCCAACGCCCCUACAAUUGAUUGGUUCUUGUUCUUGGGUCUAAGAGAAGUUGAUCAAGGAUGAUGGUGAAUGGUGAUACUCUUCGGAAUGACAAUUCGUCGUCGAGAACCCCCGGGUUCUCCUAUGAAGUUCUACAUGAAAUAGACCUUAAAAAUCCUUGAUUUUUUGUGAAGGUGGAAGGAGGAAGGUAGUUGAGCAGGUUGCAGGUAAAGAAGAUAAGAAAAUCAGUUAACAAAUGGUAGAAAUUUGCAUGAAGUUGGCCGGUUUUGCCAAAUAACAAAUGGAGUAUAGAGUACACGGUUCUAGAAAUGGGGAAAGAAAAAAUGUCCACCCUCCCCCCUAUUUGUCCUUUUUCAUCCCCCCAUCACGUGCCCCUUAACCCAAUCAUAUAUUUAUUGGGCCUUUAAUCCUCCAAUGGAAAUUAAAUAAUUUCCACUACCUAAAGUUUCACAACUUCAAACGUCCGUAACUAUACCGUUAUAAUUUGGACUCGUAAACGGCUUUCGCCUAUGCGUUCGUGGGUUCGAGAUCUAUUUAAAAACACCAGUUAAAACUUUGAUAAGUCAACAAAAGAUAAAGAUUGAUUUCAAAAAUUCAAACCCGAUAACUAUUCAAUUUAAUUCCCAAAAUUUACAGAAUUAAAAUUAAGUAAUAAAAAUAACGUAAACAUGAAAUACGAACUUAAAUUACGAGAUACAUAAUGAAUAGUGAAAUUCUGAGGACGGGAUUUCAUAUCUUCUCCCAAAUCAACAACCAUUGUCAAAUUCAAAACCACUAUUAUGGACUUACCUUCGAUGAUGAUGUGAAGCUAUCACAUCUCAUUGAUGAGGGAGAGAAGUGUUCUAGAGAGAGAUUAAAUAAAAAAAAUAAACCACAAAUAAAACGCAAAAUAAAUUAUUAUAUUACAUCUAAAAUCAUAUUAUUUUUAGUCAUUUGACAUAAUCACUUCAGUUUUAUAUAGAUGUUUAUCAAACACUCAUUUGCAUUAUUUUACAGCUAUUUAUUUUCACAACCCACAACAUAAGCAUUUUUUUGUAAGUACAACAAUAUCAAACUAGGCCUAAUUUUCACUCGUCCCCCAGAACAACUCGAGCCCAUCUCUGGUGCUUGUUGAGCGAUUUUUUGUUUUUUAAUCUCAAGUGUUACACUACUAGGGCUUUCAAUCAAUGAGAAUUACAGUACUAGAAAAUGUGCUAUAGGGCACCGCUUUGAGGACACCCUUCUUCAUCAGUGGCUUUGUAAAUUGGACUGUCACGAUUGUUAAAAUUUGAUUUCUUAAACUUUUGUAACACCAAUCAUUGGUGGCUUUAACCUUUAUAACACCAUUCAUUGGUGUCAAACUAUAAAAUUUUUGACACCAAAGACUUGUUAUAUGUUUUUCAAACUUUGGGAGUUGAUUUUUUUUAUCUUCUUUUUCAGUUUUCUUCUCCUUUUUUCUGUCAAAGAUAUUUUUAUUUUCAUUUAAUAAUGCUAUUCUACAAUACUUCACCCCUUGUUUAAGAGUAAUGGUAUUCAUACCAUAUUUUUAUAUCAUCUUAAAUGGCAUUUGAUGUGGAUAACCAAAUUAUUUGAAAAAAAUUGCAAAACCCAAGGAAAGAAAGAAGAAAGACUCCUCGUAUACCAUAAUCAUAAUUUAAUUAACUAGUUUUUCUUAAUUAUUAGUUUAUUAAAUAAUGAACUAAAUUAAAAAAUAUGAUUAAUUCAAAUGAUGUGUUUGUCCACAUCAAAUGCCAUCUAAAGUGGUAUGAAAAUGUGGUAAAAAAAUAUGGUAUGAAUAGCGUUACUCCUCAUUUAAAUACAAAGUUUACCCAGCCCUAAUUUUCAACCAGCCUCUCACUCGCUCUCCCCUCCUGCGCUAAACUCCUCGCCUUCUCCCUCACCCUAGCUCCCUAACCUUUCGAUUGUAAAGCUUUCUAAACCCAGAAAUUAAGGGGUGUAGUCAAAUUAAGAUUUUGUAGGAUUUUAAUAGAUUUUAAAAUCUGAGUGUAGUUAAUUAAAAUUUUAAAAAGUAUUUUAAAUGACUUUGAAAUUAGGAUAUAGUCAAGUUAGGAUUUAGCAGGAUUUUAAAGAAUACAUUCAAAUCCAUGGGUAGUUAAUUACGUUUUAAAAAAAAUCCAUCCAAAUCUAGGUGUAGUGAGAAUAAUAAAUAUUUACUAAGAUUUUAAGGAGUGAAGGAUUUUGAUGGAUUUGAAGGUGGGUAAUAUAAAUACCAAAUGCUAUCAACAAUCCAGCCCUCCCCCCUCUGAUUUCUUUCACGCCAGACAACAGAAGAGGAAGAGCCUCGCAUACUGAAGAUAGAGAAGGAGGGUGAAAGGGCAUCUACAUCAUCCUGAAUCCACACAUGCGAGUACGUUUUUCUUACCCAUUUCUCAUCUACUUGGAUUAUUCUUUGCAUUCUGUUUGUUUGCCGAGAAAGUUCAGGAACCCAUAUAAAUAUUGAAAUUUCAACCAUAACAAGAAACCAAUUGGAAUUCAGUGCUAAUAAAGCAAAUAUUUCAAUACCAUGAUCAAAUUCAGUACCAAGGUCUGUUAGCUUUCACUUCAGUUCGCAAAUUUUGGGGAGCUUUCGAUUUCGGGUUGGUGGAUUUGCUGGUGCUGGUAGGAUCACUCUUCAGAUAUGGAUGGGAGAUAGUUUAGAUAACUGGGAGGGGAUCCGACCUCCAAAUCGAACAGAUAGACCUAUUUAACCCUCCCAACUAAUAACUCACAGUUGCUAGUUGGAGAAUGAAUGUGGGUUAUGUAAUUGGACUAAUUGGGUAUAUUUUUUUUUCUCUUUGCAUCGAUUUUUUUCGUUAACAAAAUGAUAAUGUGAGUGAGAUUUCAGGUAGUUUUCUGCUUGUGUAGUUACCGCUGUCUAAUUACAAAUGUUUUGGUAUUUGAUUGCUCAAGACGUCCAAAACGAUGCUUCUAUCAUUUAGAUUUGCUUAUUCAUGACGAAGUUGGUAUUGUAAAAAGCUGGAGAAAAUGUGAUUUGGGAAUGCUAUUGAAUUGCUUUGUCUCGUAGAAUAUCAAACACUUUUUGUUCCUUCAUGAAUGUAGAGUAUCAGUAUUUAUCAGUUCGGAAUGAAUUGUUUUCAAUUAGAAGAACUUUUCGAUGCUAAAACGGAUAAUGUAUGUGUAGAAAAUGUAGUGCAGAGAUAAAGGAACGAUGUUAUCAAAAUGAGAAUUUGUGGAAGACUUUCUUUCUUCACUGAUAUUCACGGUAUAUGUUGCAUUGGCUAUUUUGCCUCACAUAGAAAGUAGUAGACUGCUGAAGGUCCUUCGAUGAAUCCCCUUGUUUGGAGGUAAAAAGGCAAAGAGAAAGCCAGUUGCCUCCUGCCCAUGGCUUAAGCCGAUGCAGCAGAAUACUCGUUAGAAUAAAAUGUGCAAAAAUUAGAACCACUGAUGAUCAUAAACAAGGCGUGAAUAACUGCUUAUUUAUAAUUUUAUUUGAAAAUGUAGUUUUGCUAGAUUACAAAGGAUGAGUCCUACACAAAGUGAAACAUAUCUAAACUGAAUUAUCUACAGUUACAUUUAAAUGCAAAGCUGUCAAGUAAUUGAAUUAUCUAUAUUUCUUAAUUUAUCUUAUAAUUGAUAUUAUAUGUAUGGUUUUCUGGUUGUUAACUUAUUUGUGGUUUUGUUUAUUUGAUUGGGUAGUUUAUGUAAUGUCUCAAACAAGCAUGGAAGUGGAAGGUGGGGAAGAAAUGGAAGUGGAUGAAGUGGACGAAGAAAUGGAAGUGGAGCAAAUGGUGGAAGAACAAAUUGAAGAAGAAGAAGAAGAAACUAAUGAAGAAGAAAUUGAGGAAGAACUUUAUGAAACCAUUAAAUAUUUAUUGAUGGCAAUUCAAGCUGUAGUCCACGUGCUAAAAGAGUUUAUAAUUACAUUUGGACAACCUAUUGAACGUCCUUUAAAUCGAAGAUCAAUUACUAUGGAAUGAUACAAUUAUAUACAUAAAGUAUUGAAAGAGACGGCCCAAAGGAUUUCCGGCAAAGGUAUAGAAUGUAUCGUGAUGUGUUUGUGAAGUUAUGCAUUAUUAUUAGAGAAAAAACACUCUUACGAGAUACAAGAUUCAUUUGCAUAGAAGAAAUGCUUGCAACAUUUUUGUGUAUUGUUGGACACAAUAGUAGAUAUUGUCUACUACGUGAUACGUUUGGCCGAUCACAUUGGACUGUCAGUAGAAAUUUUAACAAAGUCUUGAAGGCCUUGUACACAAUAGCACCGAAGAUGAUGGCCAAACAUGGAUUAGCAGUGCCAUGUAAAAUAAGGGAAAGUACGAGACUUUACCCUUGAAGGUACGUAUAGUUGUCUUAUUUUUUAUUUUUUAUUUUGUAUCGUUCUAAUUUAUUCCAAAUGAUAAACUUAACACUCUUUUAGGAUUAUAUUGGAGCUAUUGAUGGCAUACAUAUCCCAGUAUCAAUGUCCGGAUGUGAUGUAAGCAGUUAUUGUAAUCGUAAGCGUGUCAUAUCACAAAAUGUAUUAACUGCUUGUAACUUUGAUUUGGAAUUCAUGUACGUCCUUAGUGGAUGGGAAGGAUUGACUCAUGAUUCAAGAGUACUAAAUGAUGAUUUGACAAGAAGGAAUGGACUUAAAGUGCCACAAGGUAUCAAAUUAUUAUUUAUCAUUUUUUUUAUUAUUUAAUUUCUCAUUAUUCCAUUGAGUUGCAUACUAAAAUAUAUAUUAUCAGGUAAAUUUUUCAUAGUAGAUUGUGGAUUUCCAAAUUGACGUCAGUUCUUAGCUCCUUAUUGAGGAAUCCGAUAUCAUCUCCAAGAGUAUAGUGGUUAGGGUUGUGAGCCUAGAAACGAAAAAGUGUUGUUCAAUCUUCGUAAUGCUUCUUUAAGAAAUGUCGUCGAGAGGAUAUUUGGUAUUUUAAAAUCACGAUUCCCGAUUUUAAGGAUUGCACCUCCAUUUUCAUAUGCAACACAAACAUAUGUAGUAUUAGCUUGUGCAUAAGUGUACAAUUUUCUUCGCAAGGAGUGCAGAUCAAAUGAGUUUCCUGUUGAACUAGAUAAUGAAUCUUCUUCGUCUCCACCAUUAUUAGUUUUUGAAGGGGAUCUUGACCAAGAUUUUCAAACACAAGAACAAUAACGGAAUAUUGCUAAUGAAUGGAUAUAUAAUAUAGCUUUGGACAUGUGGAAAGAUGCCCAUAAUGAUAACAAUGUGAAUGGAGGAUAAUGAGUCACAAAUAAUUCUAGUGUGGUAGUGAUGAAUUUCUGAUGAUUUUCUUGUAAUGUUAGGUUUUGUGGCUGCGUUCGAGAAAGCAAAAAAGAAAGAAGAAAAUAUUACUUGUAAUGAUGAAUUUUUUAUUAAUAUAAGGUUUUGUGGUAGUGUUUGAAACUUGGAAUUUGGAAUUUCAUCUGAUUGCUUAGCUACUGCGAUUACAUUAUUAUUCUGUGUAUUUGAGUUCAUGAUUGUGCUUGCUAACACUUCAAAUUUAUUGUUAAUGGAUUUCCUUUGAUUCAAAACAUUUAUGUUUCUUGUGCAUUAUUUCAUUUUAUGUUAUAAGAUUCAACUAAUAAAUGCUAAGAAAUUCACGAAAGAAAUCCAUACAAAUCCAUACAAAUCUAUAAUAGAAAUCCAUAUAAAUCUGUCAAAAUCCAUAUAAAAUUGAGAAUAUUUUAAAAUCCUUUGAAAUCUAUUACUUAAAAAAAAUCUAUUAAAAUCCCGUGAAAUCCAAAUUGACUGCAACCUUUCAAACCCAUUUCAUUUAUCUUCAUUUUUUGACGCCAUCCGCCACUAAUUCCCACUCUCUUAACAUUUCAGGCUUAAGGGUGCGUUUGGUACGUGGGACGAGACGGGACGAAACGGGACGAGGCGUUCCGUCCCACGUUUGGUAUGCCAAAAAUGGGUGGAACGCGCUGUUCCACGAGACAGAAAUUGGGUGUUUUUGCGUCCCGCCUCCCCUCCUGGAACGGGUUGUUCCACGUAUGUGGAACACAAAUAUUCCACUGUCUACCCUCCUUGUCUCUCCCGUAGCCUCCCUCUCUCCUGUAGCCUCCUCCUCCUCCUCCACCUCAAACCCAGCUGCAUCUUCCUCGACCUCAACGCUCCCUCCACCACAGACUCACGUUCUGGGGAGUUCGCGGGGGUUCAUCUUCAUCUUCGUCCCAUCUUUAGUCAUUCAUUCAUUGUUCAAGGAAUACAAUCUUUAGUCAUUCACUUUCUUUCUCUAAAUUCUCUGCCAUUGUUUUUCGUUUUGCUUUUUCUUCAAUCCCCAAAAGCUAAUCAUGGUAUUAUUAUGUGUUCAAAUAUGAACAAGUUCAAAAAAAAAAAAAAUGUCUUGUCCCGUCCCACGCAUAAAUAUUGUACCAAACAACAAACAGAAUAUGAAUAAGUUAGUCAUUUAAUCUUUUGGUUCCGUUCCGUCCAACGUGUACCAAACGCAGAACAGAACAACCGUCCCGUUCCGUCCUGCGCGUACCAAACAUAACAUGGAACCUUGUUCCGUUCCUUCCUCCCAUCCCGUUCCGUCCCAUUUUGUUCCGUCUCGUCCCGUCUGCGUACCAAACGGUGCCUAAUAGUCCAUCUCGGAAGCCAAAGAUAUGUUGGCCAAAGGCAAGGCAGAUUUCAUCUAUUUGUGAGAGUAAAGUUUUUAUAUUUUUCACACAAUCCUCCAAAUUUUUAAUUUUUUUUAAAUUAGGAAAUAAUUUUUAUCUAGCGCGAAACAUAUAUCGCUGAACUCCUUGAAUUCAAUGUUUGUAUGCACAGCAAACGUUUCGAUUUUAGCUUGAUUUCCUUUUUUUAUGGAAUUUUAGUUGAUUAUUGUUAUGGAAUUUUAGUUGAUUAUUGAGUGAAUUUCAUUUUUUCUUGACAGUGCAUUCUUACACCAAAACCCCCUGCAUACGAAACGUGUGCCUUUUGUUUCUCUGCUGUUUUUGGGUACUCCUGUUCGUUCAUCUGGAUGCUUAAAAUGAAUUUUUCUUACACCAAUGGGAUUCUGCAAUUUGGGUACUGGUAGAGUUUUUGGAAUUUUGUAAUUUGAAUUACUUAUAUCUUGAUUUUUGUGGAUGGGUUGGUACUUAUGGGAGAAAUCGACUCUGAAUAGGUUUUUGAUAUAUCUUCAAACAGUUUAUCCAAUAACUUUAGUUUUUAACCAAAUAUUAUACAACUCUCAUUCAAAUAUAUAUUGAUAAUUUGGUAGGAACCCAAAUCCAAACCCAGAACUUCAAACACUCUUCCUUUCAUCUCUCUCUACGGCCUCUGGGUAUUCUCUGUGGAUGCAAAUUUUCUCCUCCUCGAUCUCGGACGAUUUUGCACCUACAAAACAACUAGCACUUUAGGUUAAGGCCAAAAGCCUCACGCGCCCACGAUGAAUGGGGGGGGCUUUGGCCGAAGAACCUCCGAUGCCAAAGUUAGAAUUUUAGAGAGAAAUAGUGUUUAGAAUAUUUGGGAUUUUUUUGCAAGAGGUUUGGAAUUAGCUUUUUGGUGAGAAUGGGAGUAUAUUUAUAGGGAUAGGAGGUGGCUAGGGUUUUUAGGUUUAAUUUAGGUUUAAUUAGCCAAUUUAUUAUGAUAAAUUUGCUAAUUAAACAUAAAGGGAAUAAAUGGAUGGUUAUAGAAUCAAUUAGCUAGCUUAAUUGGGGUAGUAAAGUGGGAAAAGAUAGGGAAGGUAGAAAGCUUAAGGGGAUGGCCGGCCAUGUGAUGUUUUAGGGUUGAAUUGGUUGUAUUUUGUGGUUAUUUGGAUAUAAUGGAUGGUUUAAUUGAGAAUUAAUGGGUUAAUUAGGCAAUAAACCCAUUAAUUAGCCAAUUAACAUAAUUUAAAAGGAAUGUGUUUGGGAAUUACCUUGUAGAAAGGAUUUGAUGAGAUGGACUUUGAAUUGUUACCUAUUUUGGGCACUUCUGUCUUGGUUGAAAGAGGGUUGCCCGCUGCUUGCGCGUAGGAACCUCAUUGUACUGCAAGGGUAUUUUUUUCCUUUUUGUCCAAAAAACCCACGUGUCGCCUUGUGAAUAUUUUUGGCUCCACAAAUGCGCCCACACCUGUUGGGCUGCUCGCAGAAAAGGGCGGUAGGUGUAGAGAUUUUCUUGCUUUAGGAAACUUAGGACUGCUUCCUAUUUUGAUGUUGAUUCUCUCUUUAAAUGGAAAUUAGAUCCUUCUAGGAAAAGGAAAUAAAUUUCUCUCAAAGCCUAUUUAAGUCCACCUUAAGUGGGUUAUUAAAUCAACUUUGGAGCGAUUUAUUCUACCUUACAAGAGAGAGAUAGCUUAGAGGAUAUUUGUUCCCCCUCCUCUAGCAAUCUUCUACAUCUUGCCUGUGCAAAGGACCGUCUUUCGUUGCUUUCUUCGUCUUCUUCGUGCCACACCAAUGUAAGAAAAAUUUAAUUUUUCUUGCCUUAUUCUUGGAUAGUGCUAUUGCGGGGUAGCCGUCGGGGUGGUGCGGCACGUCGGCUGGCAGGGGCCAGGAGCUGGCUCGGCAUGAGCUGAGGAGAUGUCGUGGCAGGGACCACUGCUUGGGCAGCUUGGCUUGGCUUGAGCCAAGGGCAGCUUGUGCAGCUGGGGUCGAGGAUUGUGGCGCUAGGGCACAGUGUUAGGCGAGCCGCAUGGCUCAUGUCCUUUGAGCUCUUGGACCUGACUCGGGCCAGGCUGGCGAUUGAGAGAAAUAAGGAGAUUGCGGGUCUCAUGGGUUGCUGGAAUGUUGGGCAUGCAGGCCUUCUGCCUGCUGGAAUGCUGGGUUGAGCUCCCCUGCUGAGUACCAUGAAUGUCGUUGGCUGCUUAGUCUUCUUUGCUGAAAGAAAGGUGGGCUGCUCCAGAAAGAUGAGGUAAAGAGGAUCAAGGCGGAUGCAUUGGCUCGUCUGAUCGCUGUCGUGGAGCUUACUAUGAAUGAAGAUGGAAAGAAGAGAUCUUCCCCGCCUGCUCAUGAGAUGCCUAGUUAAGAAAAAACUGAAGACUUCUUCUGCUGCUCAUGAGGGUCCGCUUGCUACCGAGAGGUAUGUGAUUGACAUGACUUCUUCUAAUGGGAAGAAAAAUAAGGCUGCUAGAUCUGAGCAUGUGGCGUCUUCCAUGUUGAGAAUGGCUAGUACAAUUGUGGAUAAGAUUGCUCAGCGUAAAGGUUUUAUCAUGCCCCCAGUGCCGAAGUCUGUACCAGGACGUUCUUUGGGAGCUAAGUCCGAUUCACCUUUGUAGAGACUUGCUAUUAUGAAGAGUGGUAAGGUGGACUCUGCUGCUAAAGUGGCGCCAAAGCCUACUCCCUUUGCUGCUGAGAUUGAUUCGCCUCAGAUUCAAGAUCUUAAGCUUGCAAUUUCUGAGCUUCGUUUCGCUGCUUAUGCUAAGAAGGGAGUGGAUGAGCUGCAGCGUGUCUGUGUUAGUCUGCUUAAGAAGAAUGAGCAGCUGAAGGGUGAGAAUGAUGGGCUUGAGGUUUUAAGACCUUCUCUAUUUCUCCGAAAGACUUGCUUGCUUUUACUUUUAAGGCUUCCAUUGGUGAAGUAGUUGGAGAAGUUAGUGCCCAGACUGGGGCAGCCGGGGGUGAAGCGCCGGAUGAUGCCGUUGCUAAGAGUGUUACGGCUGUUGAAGGUGUGGCGACCGAGUAGUCGUGGGAUGUCCAAGCUGCUGUAUUGUAGUAUUUUAGGUAGCCUUUAGGAUUUUCUUUGUUUUUCCUUGUAGCUCUUGUUUUGCUUGAACUCCUUCGGCCUUUGCUAGUUGUUUAUAAACAUGUUUUCCUUCGUUUUUCUUCAUCUUCACUUCUUUUGUUCAUGCCCUAACCUUUAGACUUGAUAGACCAGUGGCAGGCAUGCUACUUUUUUAUAAGCAGACAAGCUCGCGUAGCCUAUGCAGCCAUAGGUGUUGGUGUAGAACUUUGCAAAGUUGUUAGCCAUAGGGUUGGCAGCCGGAUGCCUUACUUACAGAAGAAGACAAGUCCGCGUAACCACUAGGCUGUUAACCUUGACUUUCUUCAAUGUCGUAGGUUGCGUAGCAAGUAUCACAACACUUUAGGACUUGGUGUAGGUUGUUUCGCGCUUGGCAGAGGUGAACCUUAUCGACUACGUAGCAUGUCGGCAGUGGAUAAAACUUCGUAUAUGCGCGCUAGCUUGUUUAACCUUUCACAAGAAUGUGCGGUUGUAUAAGUCUAGCGCGGCUUUAUUGCUCGAAGGGCAAGCCGUAGGCAGUCUUCCGGAAUCCGUAGGCUACCUUAGUGCACUCGGUAGCAGCUUUAGGAUUCCAGGGCAGCCGUCCAUCGGAUGUACUGCGUAAUGUGCCAUCUCCGUCUCUAGGGCCCAGUUCCCUACGGGUUAAGCCAAGAGACCCAAAAUCCUUCAGUUAGCUAAGCCUUGAAAAAGACCAUUGUGGCUACUUCUAGGAAUCCCGGCGCAAGCCAUCGUGCAUCUAGUUAUACUAGGGCAGCCAGGCUCAUCCAUGUCUGGAUAUUCGGAGUGUAAAGUUUAUCCUCCCGUCUUGGAGAGCUGACCCAUAUGGGUGUCGGGGAAUUGGUUUACCCUCUCACACUGGAGAGCAAUUAGUUUACCCUCUCGCACUGGAGAGCAUGGUUGGUCCCUCGGGGGGCGCAAUUCCUGCGAUGGGGUCCCUAAGAAGGGCACAAUCUUCUUUUGAAGUGCUGGAGUGAUCACUUGUUGUAAGCAUGCAGCCGAGCCAAGUUGUGAUUACUUCUGAAUUCCUCAUUGAAAAACGAGUGAAACGAACGAGAACUUAGCUGUAAGGUAGGAACUGCAUACAAUUGGAUAGUCCUCGACUUGUGAGGUGGUGCCCAUCGAGCUUCUUAAGUCUUCGGGCUUUGAUGUAGUCGGAGGUCACACAUGGUACUUCUUCAGAUUGUAGGCGCUCCACUACUUUUCGAUCUUUUUAUCGUUUCAUGGUAGCGGAGGUAUAAUUACUCUUACCGCCUAUUCUGCUGAGCUUGUAUGGACCUUCCCAGAUGAGAUCCAUAUUUUUGGAUGUUUCGGCCUGCCUAUUGCCUUGAGGAUAUCUCGGCAUUGACAUAUGCUGCUUGAUGCCAUAUUUUUUGAAGAACUUCGCCAAAUCUUUGCCCACGAAUUGAAGGCCGUUGUUGGUGACGAUGGAUUAAGGGAUGCCAAAUCGGUAAAUGAUGUUCCUCCAUAUGAAGCGCUCUAUGUCCGUCAAAAUCGUGGUCGUCAUGGGCUCUGCUUCCACCUAUUUGGUGAAGUAGUCGGUUGCCACGAACCACAGCUGCUCGCAAGCCUUUGUAGUUGGAUGCGUCGUUGACAUGCGAAUGCCAGAAAUCUCCAUUAAGGGAAUAUGUGCAACUAAAGUGUGCUCGACUGCCUUCGGGGCAUCGUUGGGCCGAAUUGUUGCGUUCGUCAGAAAACUUUGCAUCUGCCAGGGUCUACGCCUUUAUCGUCACCGGUUUGGAUUCGGCGGAAUAGUGCGUCAUGAUGAUGAUUGCAGGUAACUGUAGAAUACAGGUAGUCGGGCCCCUAGCUCUUCUCGCAUGAUGGUAGAGCUUAUUGCUAAUUUAGAUACCGUCAAACAUGCGAAUAAGUCCUCCGCUGCUUCUAGGGAGGUGAUGUCGGGUACUUCUUCAAGUCCUUGAAUGUGCAUUGGCGAGCCUCAUCCCAAAGUGCAUGCUUCUCUGCUAAAGCAAAAGAGUCUGCCAGAGUUAGAUCUUCUUUCAUGAUCAAUUUUCCGAAUAGCGGGUGGUCUGCUGGAAGUCCUUUUUGGAAGGCUGCUCUAGCUAUCGAGUCGUUGCAUCCGACUAUUUUUGCCUUCUCUAUUUUGAACCUCCUCACAUAGUCGCGAAGCGACUCCUUUGGGUUCUUCUUGACGUCGAACAAAUGGUCAGACUUCUUUUUGAUCGAGCGAUAAGAUGAAUAUUCUUUGGUGAAAACCAAAGAAAGUUCGUAGAAAUUCCGGAUGGAUUGUGGCGGCAGGUGUAGAACCAAUCUUGCGCCUCGCCUUGUAGAGUGGUGGCGAAUAUCUUGCACAUGAGAUCAUCGUUGUUUCGAUAAAGGAUCAUUGCGCUUUGGUAACGUUUUAAGUGUUUCUCUGGGUCUUCAUCCCCUUUGAAAGAUGUGAAAUGUGGCAUGCUGAACUCGCGUGGAGGCUCUGCCUCUUCGAUCUCCUCCGUGAAGGGUGACCUGCUUAUGUUGAUUAUGUUCCGUCGUAGUGCUCGUCGGUGACCUCGUUGCGUUGGAAAUCAUGCAAUCGCUUGGUCAAGAGUCUCUCUACUUCUUCCUGAAUUUGCCUUUGUUGGGGUAGCGGAGCUCUCGGCUGCCCCCAAUCAUGACUUGCUGGUCUAGGCUGCUCUUCCAUGUGUUUGGCUCGUCUAUGCCGCGGAUGCAGUGCAUGUGGUGCGUUCCUAGUAGGCGAGCGAGUUCUUCGCAGGCUGCUGAUUGAACUUGAGCUGGAUUGAGUGACUGCUUCUCUCCGUCCGUCGUGCUGCCUACUCUGAUGUGAGAUGGAGAACGCUCAUUGUGGGCUUAGCUGCGAAUAGACACUUUACCCUGAAGGUUGCUCAUGUUGACUAUCGGAGUAUGACCCCAACUGUGAAUGUAUGCUCAUCCGUGGGCCUAGUCGAGAGUGCAUGCUCCCUCGCGCUCUAAGACGGGAAUGUACACUGCCCAAACGUUCGGCUCGUGGCUGGUCGAGUGGCUGCUUACCGGGAUGCUGCUGGAAAUGUUCGUCUGCCCUUGUCCUACUUCGGGAUACCUCGUCCGGGGCACGUUGGAUCCCGAUACGUUGCAAAAGUUGAUUCACCAAGGUUUUCUAUUGUGCAAGGGCGCUCGUCAACUCUAUGACUUGUCGAGACAAGUGUUGUUCGCCAUUUGGAUUGGAAGAGCUUGGAAGGAAUGCGCCUCCUUGGGUAGUGGAAAUGUGGUAGACUCCGGGCGCGAGAUUUGAGUUGGGAAAUGUCAAAUCCGUGAAAAAAUGUGGUGAGAAUGCCCCCGGCUCGAUGGUAGGUCCGGAUGGUUGAGAUAGUCUUGGGCCGACUUGGGCUGCUUGGAAAGCCAGGGGAGCAGGCUGGGCCGUGAGAGUGGGCUGCUCGAAAGAAAGCAGGCUGGACCACGGGAGUGGGUUGCUCGUAGAGAGCAGGCUGGGUCACGAGAGCAGGCUGCUUGGCAGGAGCAGGCUGGGCCACGGGAGUGGGCUGUUUGGCAGGAGCAGGCUGGGCCAUCGGAGUGGGCUGCUCGACGAAAGCAGGCUGGGCCACGGGAGUGGGCUGCUCGUCGGGAGCAGGCUGGGUCACGAGAGCAGGCUGCUCGGUAGGAGCAGGUUGGGCCGUGAGAGUGGGUUGCUUGACGGGAGCAGGCUGGAUCACGGAAGCAGGCUGCUCAAUGCGCGGUGCAUGUGAAUGCGAGGCUUGGGCUUGGGUCCACGUAAACUUGGAUGGCACGGCUUGGAUCGUGGUCUUGGUACCGUGAGCCUUGGAUGGCACGGCUCGGGCCGUGGUGAAGGCUCCAUGGACCUUGCCACGAGUGGCUACCGAAGUAGCCACCGCGGUGGUUCCCAUGGUGGCUGUGGUGAAGGCACCAUGGACCUCGCCGCGGGUGGCUACCGAGGUAGCCACCACGGUGGUUCCCAUGGUGGAAGCUCGUGAUGAUGAUGUCGCUGCCCUUAUUGUCGCAUUUAGUCUCACGGAUCUCCGCAAUCCCAUUUCUUGAACAUUAGACUUUUCACUUGUGGAAUUUUCUAAAUUUCUAGCCAUUAUAUUUUGCUUAUACGUUUUAUCAAAUAACCUUUGCAAGUAAAAAAUUCUAAUAAUAAGAACGUAUGAAAAAUAUUCAAAUGGGCUAGAAAAUAAAGAAAAAACCUUUUUGUGCGAGAGUCUUCUACGAGUAUGGAUUUCAACUCUCAAUGAAAGCACCAAUUUGUGGAUGCAAAUUUUCUCCUCCUCGAUCUCGGACGAUUUUGCACCUACAAAACAACUAGCACCUUAGGUUAAGGCCAAAAGCCUCACGUGCCCACGAUGAAUGGGGGGGGCUUUGGCCGAAGAACCUCCGAUGCCAAAGUUAGAAUUUUAGAGAGAAAUAGUGUUUAGAAUAUUUGGGAUUUUUUGCAAGAGGUUUGGAAUUAGCUUUUUGGUGAGAAUGGGAGUAUAUUAUAGGGAUAGGAGGUGGCUAGGGUUUUUAGGUUUAAUUUAGGUUUAAUUAGCCAAUUUAUUAUGAUAAAUUUGCUAAUUAAACAUAAAGGGAAUAAAUGGAUGGUUAUAGAAUCAAUUAGCUAGCUUAAUUGGGGUAGUAAAGUGGGAAAAGAUAGGGAAGGUAGAAAGCUUAAGGGGAUGGCCGGCCAUGUGAUGUUUUAGGGUUGAAUUGGUUGUAUUUUGUGGUUAUUUGGAUAUAAUGGAUGGUUUAAUUGAGAAUUAAUGGGUUAAUUAGGCAAUAAACCCAUUAAUUAGCCAAUUAACAUAAUUUAAAAGGAAUGUGUUUGGGAAUUACCUUGUAGAAAGGAUUUGAUGAGAUGGACUUUGAAUUGUUACCUAUUUUGGGCACUUCUGUCUUGGUUGAAAGAGGGUUGCCCGCUGCUUGCGCGUAGGAACCUCGUUGUACUGCAAGGGUAUUUUUUUUCUUUUUGUCCAAAAAACCCACGUGUCGUCUUGUGAAUAUUUUUGGCUCCACAUUCUCUCAAUUGAUGCUAUAGUAUUUGUUAAAAUUGUUAGAUUUAGGGUUUGGAUUUAAAUUAAUUUUAGGGAUUUUGAUUGUGGUUUAAGUGUUUUGGUAUGUUCCCUGCACAUUGCAAAAUUCGGAUACUAUUUGGGAGUUUUGGUAUUGUAAGUCCGGUGUUUGGCUUAGAUGUGGUGUUUCAAUCUGAAUGCGGGUUCUGUAUUUAAAAUUUCAGCUAAGGUUUCUCUGUAUUCAUUAUAUAGAGAGAUUUUCUUUUCAUGUAUUAAUUUGAACUUAUUUGGAGAUUUUAAGGAUUUUUGUGUGUAUUUGUGCUUUUGCUCCCCAGUUUGAAAUAUAUAUACAUGUAUCAGGUUACCAAGAAUUCCUCAUUGGGGUCAUUAAACCCUGUAGUUAUUAGUUAAGUUCCUCAGUGCGGAUUUCUACAAACUACACUUGAGAAAAAUAAUUAUGUAGGGGCUCUAUUUCGUCUUUUGAAAAACAAACCAAGGAAAUGUAGAUAUUAUUUUUACAAUUUGGAUACCUCUGAUCAAUUGUACGAGUGUUACUGUAAAAAUCAAAGCACACCAUUUCUUUUUCAAAGGAUUCCUAAUAGCUUGGUUUGGCAAGUGCUAGUCCGUAUUAAAUCAGUCGUCUUUAUCAAUAAUAGUAGUAGUAAUAAUAAUUUAACUUAGUCUUGUUAUUUUUGUUCCAGGUGUGUGGGCUUGAAUUUAAUGUGAUUGCUCUUGCUUAUGAGGAUGGUGGCGGUGAAUUUUUUUUCAAGUAUAUUGUAUAAUUUUUCCCUUUAUUAUGUUUUCUUGUUGGUUGCUAACUUAUUUGGCCCCUCUGUUGUGCAGAACACACUGAGCAAAGAGCUUUCUGCAAGUAAGUUUGAUUAUGCUGGGAAUAUAUUGUACAUUACCGGUUAUUUUUGUGCCUUGUUUUAAUUCUACAAGCAUGGAUGAAGUCAUUUGCAUUUUCUUGCAUGUUGGAGUAGUUUGAUGGUGUAUAAUGAUAGACAUGAGCAAGGAGCAUUGUGCAACAAAGUUUGAUUUCCCUACAAUUUGCAAACUGUAGUCAUUAAUAUAAUAUCAAGUUGUGAGAAUUUUCUUAAGUUUCAGAAUUUCUUUUGUAUUCUUGAGGGUUACUAAUAAAUGUUGAAUUGCUUGUUAAUUAUUAUUGUGAUGGCAUUUAGAAUAGCUUUGGACCUUUUCCGCCACAAGAGGUUUCCUUGAGGUAAUUAAUUUUUUUGGCAAAUUCAUAUUAAAUUGUUGUUGGCCUCUAAAGGCCAUCUCCAACCGAAGGGUCCAGAGGGCCAGAGGGUCGAAAAUAGCCUGAAAACCGUCUCCAACCGAGGGCUAGGCCAAAGGGCUCUGGAAUCUGGGAGGGUCCCACAGAAUCGGAGAGGGUUGGAGGGCUGGCUGGUUGGCUUUUUUUUUUUAAUGUUUUGUUAUUUCUGUCGGUUAUAACCGAAAUGAUUUAUUUUAUUUUAGACAUCGAAAUUUCGGUAAAUAAAUGUUGACCGAUAAAUCAAAGUGUCAACGCUCAUGUAUUACAUAAAUUUUACACGUAGCGUGUGACUCAACGAAAAUUGAAAUGAGUUGGAAAAGUCAUCAAAUAGGACACGUGUCAACACCUGGCAGAAACGACUUAUUUCAUCUGGGAUAUUAUAUUCAAAAUUAGGCCUUGGAAAAUUCUAUAAAUACAAGCCCAUUUCAUUCAUUUGAGAGGACCAAUUCAUAUUACACCUUGAAGCUCUGAAGCUCUGAAACUCCGAAGCUCUCAAGCAUCCAGGUUCCCGAAGAAUCAAGAAAGCUCUCUUCGUUCUUCGUUCUUCGUUCAUCGCUCUUUCAAGAUCAAGCCCCGACGGCCCUUGAAGAAAGCACCAUCGUUCAUCAUCCUUUCAUCCAAGAUCAAGCCCCAACGGCCCUUUGGAUCAACAAUCAUCCACCUUCAAGAUCAAGCCCCGACGACCCUUGAAGAAAGUGUUCUUCGUUCUUCGUUCUUCGUUCAUCGUUCUUCCAAGAUCAAGCCCCAACGGCCCUUUGGAUCAACAAACGUCGACAAAUCCACACAUCCAACCGUCCUUCAAGAUCAAGCCCAAAAGCCCUUGAAGAUCCGUUCAUCACUGUUCUUCAAGAUCAAGCCCAAAAGCCCUUGAAGAUCCGCUCAAAUCCACCUUCAAAGAUCAAGCCCACGGCCCUUUGAAGAAACUUCCAACUGUUCAUCCAAGAUCAAGCCUCGACGCCCCUUGGAUCAACGAAACAUCCACAAAUCAACACCUUACGGAGAUCGAAUCAGAGGAUCAAAAUUGAGAGAGAUUGUAACCCAAAAUCAUCAAAUACAAAUAUUUGUUUGUGCACGUUGUUCUUGUCUCUUUCGUUUCAGGAAUUUUCCGUGUUCACACUUAUAUUUUUUCCUAUAACUUCUAUUUUACAAAAUUUAUUUCAUAUUUUUUUAAAUUCCAUUUUUUUCCUAUAACUUCUAUUUCACAAAAUUUGUUUCAUAUUUUUUUUAAAUUCUAUUUUUUUUCCUAUAACUUCCUAAGCCAUUAUACAACAUCAAAAAAAAAAAAUUAUGUUUGGCCCUAUGGCCCUUUGACCCUCGGUUGAAGAUGGUUUUUUGUGAAAUGGCUAAAACGAGCCCUUUGGCCCUCUGGUCCUCGGUUGGAGACGGAGGUAAAAAUGACCCUGUACUGUUCAUUAAAAUAUUAAUAUCUUGGAGAAUCUUGGAGGGCCAAGGGGUUAAAACGAGCCAUCUAGCCAGCCAUCGGUUGGAGAUGGCCUAAGUACCGACCCAAGUGAAUGAGUGAAAUUCAAUUCUUAUAUAAGUAGAUGAUUUCUUGUUUAGGCAUUCAUGGUUUAUUGCGAUACUAUGGUGUUAUUGCAGUCCUUCCCCAUUUUCUAACUUUUAACUGUUUGUUGUGUUCUAAUGAUGGUUUUUAUUAUUUUUGCAGGAUAUCGCUAAAUCAAUGUUGAAGAAUGAGAUUGGGAUGGGAUAAUUUUAUUGUAUAUUGAAAUACUUUGUAUAACCACUCUGCUUCUACAUUUUAUGAUACCAUUCAUUGGAAAGAGACCCCAUUUUGUAUCAGUAAUAGAGUAUUAUAAAAAAGAUUAUCUCUAUACAUCCAAAUAUAUGUGCAUGAUAAUGUCGAGAGUUCCAUUCUUUUAAUUUUUGGUACAUAUCAAGUCCAAAGUCUAGAAGGAACAGAAAAGACCUACAAUGGGACAUUCCUGGUUCAACUUAUACCUCAUUUAUCAUCACUCAUCAGUCAAAAGAUUAGGAAUGCUAAGUGGGACAAGUCUCCAUAUAUACAUUGCAUAUCAAAUUUAAGAUGAUUACUCGUAUAUAUCCAUCAUAUAUACCAAAUACAGAUUUUUGAGAGUUUUUACUUUGCGAAUAUAUUGGAGGAUGUAAAGUUAAAUUUUUAGAUAAAAAAAUUCGAGUAAUCUUGUAUGAGCGUAAAAAAAGUUGAACGAUUCCUGCUAUUGCUAAUUGAUUGAAGUGAAAUACAAGCACUUCCACGUCCCCUUGGGGACAUCCGAGAGUGGCUUCUACUUUCAUGCGAGGAGGAUUAUUUCUAGUGGUAAAGGCAAAAGACCAAAUCCACUGUUGCUUUGUAACGCAUGCAGAGUAGCUCUAGGCAUUCAUGAUUCAUGAUACAGAUAACUCUAAGAUUUAAAAGUAAAAAUUAUGAUUAGAUAGUAUAAAACAAUUUGCACCAGUAUCCAACUCUUAAUCCGAAAUACAACUACGAGUGGCGACCGGCGAGAAGAAAAACUACAAGGCUAGCUAAAGCUCACCACUUAAAUUACCCUACUAUUAAUAUAGCUUCAAACUGAUGCCUUCUGGAUAAUGCGAACCUUCAUCUCGUUG